CUUGUAAAGAAGCUGGUAAAAUGUGGUCUUGACUAUGCUACCACUCAGUGGAUUUGUAACUGGCUGACUGACCGAACCCAAAGGGUGCUCAUCAAUGGUUCCUCUUCAUCCUGGAGAAGAGUGACUAGUGGGGUGCCACAGGGUUCUGUCUUGGGCCCGGUCUUAUUCAACAUCUUUAUCAACGACUUGGAUGAUGGACUCAAGGGCAUCCUGAUCAAAUUUGCAGAUGACACCAAAUUGGGAGGGGUGGCUAACACCCUAGAGGACAGGAUCACACUUCAAAACGACCUUGACAGAUUAGAGAACUGGGCCAAAACAAACAAGAUGAAUUUUAACAGGAGAAAUGUAAAGUAUUGCACUUGGGCAAAAAAAUGAGAGGCACAAAUACAAGAUGGGGACACCUGGCUUGAGAGCAGUACAUGUGAAAAGGAUCUAGGAGUCUUGGUUGACCACAAACUUGACAUGAGCCAACAGUGUGACGCGGCAGCUCAAAAAGCCAAUGCAAUUCUGGGCUGCAUCAAUAGGAGUAUAGCAUCUAGAUCAAGGGAAGUAAUAGUGCCACUGUAUUCUGCUCUGGUCAGACCUCACCUGGAGUACUGUGUCCAGUUCUGGGCACCACAGUUCAAGAAGGACAUUGACAAACUGGAACGUGUCCAGAGGAGGGCAACCAAAAUGGUCAAAGGCCUGGAAACAAUGCCUUAUGAGGAACGGCUAAGAGAGCUGGGCAUGUUUAGCCUGGAGAAGAGGAGGUUAAGGGGUGAUAUGAUAGCCAUGUUCAAAUAUAUAAAAGGCUGUCACAUAGAGGAGGGAGAAAGGUUGUUUUCUGCUGCUCCAGAGAAGCGGACACGGAGCAAUGGAUCCAAACUACAAGAAAGAAGAUUCCACCUAAACAUUAGGAAGAACUUCCUGACAGUAAGAGCUGUUCGACAGUGGAAUUUGCUGCCAAGGAGUGUGGUGGAGUCUCCUUCUUUGGAGGUCUUUAAGCAGAGGCUUGACAACCAUAUGUCAGGAGUGCUCUGAUGGUGUUUCCUGCUUGGCAGGGGGUUGGACUCGAUGGCCCUUGUGGUCUCUUCCAACUCUAUGAUUCUAUGAUUCUAUGAUUCUAUAUCAAAUCCAAACUCUUCUUCUUCUUCUUCUUCUUCAAGCAGCACUGUUUCGUUUCCUCCAGGGUUCAGUUUCUGCUAAAACCUACAAUGUUUGUUCCAUCUGGAGAUUUCUCUCUCUUUCUGGAUAGUAUUAACAAAACUACACAAAGCUCUCCUACAUAGAUUUAUUGAAGAUAACCAAGGCACAUGUAGAACUAUUACUCACAUUCGAAUAGGCUCUGAGUAUAGAUGGCUAGAAGCUUUUUAUGAAGUUCUCUGUGGAGCUCUGUAAGGACGAAGCGAGUUCACCCUUCUUCUUGGGGUUCCAUAACUAGACUGCCACUAGAUUACGAGGGAGGGAGGGAGGCCAGAGCCAAUGGAAAGUAGAAUAUUGCUGUGCUACAUUUCCCAACCUGCCUUGGGGUCUAAAAAGGAGGAAAGGCACUAGGGGUAGCAUUGUUGUUCCUUCUACCUAAUACUGAUACAUAGAUUUUCUAUCACUAAAUAACUGAAGCUUGUGGGGGCAUAACAGUGUUUCCCAUGCCAUCUGCUACAGCCAACGCUAACAUGACUUAAUAUGCAAUCAGUUCUGGUGCACCUCAGUGUUAUUGUAUUUUUAAUAUUUUGUUGGAAGCUGCCCAGAGUUGCUGGGGAAACCCAGCCAGACGGGCGGGGUAUAAAUAAUAAAUUAUUAUUAUUAUUAUUAUUAUUAUUAUUAUUAUUAUUAUUAUUUUAUUAUUAUUAGGGAAAUGUCAAGGCAAGGCAGAAAAGGAAGCAAGGGAUGCAACGCAGAGCUAAGGAGGUCACUCCAUCCAUGAAAGCUGAGAAAGGGUCUAGAAGACAAGUCUUGUUGUUGUUUAGUCCUUUAGUCGUGUCCGAUUCUUCAUGACCCCCUGGACCAGAGCACGCCAGGCACUCCUGUUUUCCACUGCCUCCCGCAGUUUGGUCAGACUCAUGUUUGUAGCUUCGAGAACACUGUCCAACCAUCUCGUCCUCUGUCGUCCCCUUCGCCUUGUGCCCUCAAUCUUUCCCAACAUCAGGGUCUUUUCCAGGGAGUCUUCUCUUCUCAUGAGGUGGCCAAAGUAUUGGAGCCUCAGCUUCACGAUCUGUCCUUCCAGUGAGCACUCAGGGCUGAUUUCCUUAAGAAUGGAUAGGUUUGGUCUUCUUGCAGUCCAUGGGACUCUCAAGAGUCUCCUCCAGCACCAUAAUUCAAAAGCAUCAAUUCUUCGGCGAUCAGCCUUCUUUAUGGUCCAGCUCUCACUUCCAUACAUCACUACUGGGAAAACCAUGGCUUUAACUAUACGGACCUUUGUUGGCAAGGUGAUGUCUCUGCUUUUUAAGAUGCUGUCUAGGUUUGCCAUCGGCUUUCUCCCAAGGAGCAGGCGUCAUUUAAUUUCGUGACUGCUGUCACCAUCUGCAGUGAUCAUGGAUCCCAAGAAAGUAAAAUCUCUCACUUCCUCCAUUUCUUCCCCUUCUAUUUGCCAGGAGGUGAUGGGCCCAGUGGCCAUGAGCUUCGUUUUUUUGAUGUUGAGCUUCAGACCAUAUUUUGCACUCUCCUCUUUCACGCUCAUUAAAAGGUUCUUUAAUUCCUCUUCACUUUCUUCCAUCAAGGUUGUGUCAUCUGCAUAUCUGAGGUUGUUGAUAUUUCUUCCGGCGAUCUUAAUUCCGGCUUGGGAUUCAUCCAGCCCAGCAUUUUGCAUGAUGAAUUCUGCAUAUAAGUUAAAUAAGCUGGGAGACAAUAAACAGCCUUGCCGUACUCCUUUCCCAAUUUUGAACCAAUCAGUUGUUCCAUAUCCAGUUCUGACUGCAGCUUCUUGUCCCACAUAGAGAUUUCUCAGGAGACAGAUGAGGUGAUCAGGCACUCCCAUUUCUUUAAGAACUUGCCAUAGUUUGCUAUGAUCGACACAGUCAAAGGCUUUUUGUAUAGUCAAUGAAGCAGAAGUAGAUGUCUUUCUGGAACUCUCUAGCUUUCUCCAUAAUCCAGCGCAUGUUUGCAAUUUGGUCUCUGGUUCCUCUGACCCUUCGAAAUCCAGCUUGCACUUCUGGGAGUUCUCGGUCCACAUGCUACUUAAGCCUGCCUUGUAGUAUUUUAAGCAUAACCUUGCUAGCGUGUGAAAUGAGUGCAAUUGUGCCGUAGUUAGAGCAUUCUUUGGCAUUGCCCUUCUUUUGGAUUGGGAUGUAGGCUGAUCCACUGCUGAGUUUUCCAAAUUUGCUGGCAUAUUGAGUGUAGCACCUUAACAGCAUCAUCGUUUAAAAUUUUAAAUAGUUCAGCUGGAAUAUCAUCACUUCCACUGGCCUUGUUAUUAGCAGUGCUUUCUAAGGCCCAUUUGACAUCACUCUCCAGGAUAUCUGGCUCAAGGUCAGCAACCACACUACCUGGGGUAUACGAGACAUCCAUUUCUUUCUGGUAUAGUUCCUCUGUGUAUGCUUGCCACCUCCUCUUGAUGUCUUCUGCUUCUGUUAGGUCCUUUCCAUUUUUGUCUUCUGUUAUGGUAAUCUUUGUACGAAAUGUUCCUUUCAUAUCUCCAAUUUUCUUGAACAGAUCUCUGGUUUUCCCCAUUCUAUUGUUUUCCUCUAUUUCUUUACAUUGCUCGUUUAAGAAGGCCUUCUUGUCUCUCCUUGCUAUUUUUUGGAAAUCUGCAUUCAAUUUCCUGUAUCUUUCACUAUCUCCCUUGCAUUUUGCUUGCCUUCUCUCCCCCACUAUUUGUAAGGCCUCGUUGGACAGCCACUUUGCUUUCUUGCAUUUCCUUUUCAUUGGGAUGGUUUUAGUUGCUGCCUCCUGUAUAAUGUUACGAGCCUCCAUCCAUAGUUUUUCAGGCACUCUGUCCACCAAAUCUAAAUCCUUAAACCUGUUCCUCACUUCCACUGUGUAUUCAUAAGGGAUUUGAUUUAAAUUUGUAUCUUACCGGCCCAGUGGUUUUUCCUACUUUCUUCAGUUUAAGCUUGAAUUUUGCUAUAAGAAGCUGAUGAUCUGAGCCACAGUCAGCUCCAGGUCUUGUUUUUGCUGACUGUAUAGAGCUUCUCCAUCUUUGGCUGCAGAGAAUAUAAUCAAUCUGAUUUCGAUGCUGCCCAUCUGGUGAUGUCCAUGUGUAGAGUUGUCUCUUGUGUUGUUGGAAAAGCGUGUUUGUGAUGACCAGCUUGUUCUCUUGGCAGAACUCUAUUAGCCUUUGCCCUGCUUCAUUUUGAACUCCAAGGCCAAACUUGUCAGUUGUUCCUUUUAUCUCUUGACUCCCUACUUUAGCAUUCCAAUCCCCUAUAAUGAGAAGAGCAUCCUUCUUUGGUGUCAUUUCUAUAAGGUGUUGUAGGUCUUCAUAGAAUUGGUCAAUUUCAGUUUCUUCAGCACCAGUGGUUGGUGCAUAAACUUGGAUUACUGUGAUGUUAAAAGGUCUGCCUUGGAUUAGUAUCGAGAUCAUUCUAUCAUUUUUGAGAUUGCAUCCCAGUACAGCUUUCGCCACUCUUUUGUUGGCUAUGAGGGCCACUCCAUUUCUUUUACGGGAUUCUUGCCCACAGUAGUAGAUAUGAUGGUCAUCUGAACUGAAUUCGCCCAUUCCUGUCCAUUUUAGUUCACUGAUGCCCAGGAUGUCAAUAUUUAUUCUUGCCAUCUCAUUUUUGACCACUUCCAACUUACCAAGGUUCAUGGUUCUUACAUUCCAGGUUCCUAUGCAAUAUUUUUCUUUACAGCAUUGGACUUUCCUUUCACUUUCAGGCAUAUCUGCAACUGAGCGUCCUUUCAGCUUUGGCCCAGCCGCUUCAUCAGCUCUGAAUCUACUUGUACUUGUCCUCCGCUCUUCCUCAGUAGCAUGUUGGACACCUUCCGACCUGAGGGGCUCAACUUCCAGCAUCAUAACUUUUAUAUGCCUGUUGUCUUUGUCCAUGGAGUUUUCUUGGCAGGAAUACUGGAGUGGCUUGCCGGUUCCUGCUCCAGGUGGAUCACGUUUGGUAAAAAUCUCCACUAUGACCUGUCCAUCUUAGGUGGCCCUGCAUGGCAUAGCUCAUAGCUUCUCUGAGUUAUUCAAGCCCCUUUGCCACGGCAAGGCAGUGAUCCAUGAAGGUCUUAUGAGGAGCAAUUGAAGACGUUCAGGUGCUUAGGUUGGAGGAGAGAAGACUGAGAGGUGAUGUGAUAGCCACCUUCAAAUAUCUUUAGGACUGUCACAUGGAAGAUGGAGCAUGCUUGUUUUCUCCUGCUCUGUAGGGACUCUGUAGGACUCGAACCCAUGGCUUCAACUUAAAAGAAAAAAGAUUCCAACUAAACAUAGGAAGGACUUUCUGACGAUAAGAGCUGUCUCCUUCCUUGGUGGUUUUUAAGCAGAGUUUGGCUGGCCAUCUGUCAUGGAUGCUUUAGCUGAGAUUCCUGCAUUGCAGGGGGUUGGACUAUUAUUCUAUGAGUCUAAGGCUGUGUUUCUCAUCUACUACAUCCAGGCUCCAGAACUGGCAGCUUAUCCCUUGUUAAGGGGGCUCCUCCCCACUUUAUGCCCACAUUUAUGCACUCCUCUGCGACAUAGUCAUCUUUAUGACUGCAAAUUACUCACACCAUAAAUAUUGACCUAUAAAAGUUGAGGUUACAGACAUUAUUUAUGUGAUGGAAAAUUGAUUUCACAUCAUUUGAAUCUUCUGAAUGUUACUGAUUUCAAAUGGCAAUCCUUGGCAAAAGGUUGCUGCUGGCUUGGCAUUGUUGGGUGGUGAAGUGGGCAGAGGGCUGGAGGACAUCUGCUUUAACUUGAAUUGCCAUGGGAUUUUUUUUUUUUACCAAAAAUAAAAUUCAAGGUGAAUUUAGAGAAACUUAGUUAAAUCAGCAGUAGGCAUUUCAAAGACAGUAAAAGGAAUUGUAAUAAGCAUGAUGAGCAUUUAUAAAGAGGGUUUGAAAACAUGCUGUAUGCAUAGAAUCAUAGAAUCAUAGGGUUGGAGGGGAUCCCCAAUGGUCAUCUAUCCCAACCCCCUGAAAUGCAGGAAUCACAGCUGAAGCAUCCCUGACAGAUGGCCACCCAACCUUUGUUUAAAAGCCUUCAGUGAAGGAGAGUCCACUCCCUUUCGUGGUCAUUCAAUAUACUGUUUGAACAACUCUUCCUGUCAGAAAGUUUGCUUAUUUAAUUUAUUUAUUACAUUCAUAUAAAAAAGGUAAAGGUACCCCUGCCCGUACGGGCCAGUUGUGUUCGACUCUAGGGUUGUGCGCCCAUCUCACUUAAGAGGCCGGGGGCCGGCGCCGUCCGAAGACACUUCCGGGUCACGUGGCCAGCGUGACUAAGCUGCAUCUGGCGAGCCAGCACCAGCGCAGCACACGGAAACGCCGUUUACCUUCCUGCUAUAAAGCGGUACCUAUUUAUCUACUUGCACUUGGGGGUGCUUUCGAACUGCUAGGUGGGCAGGAGCUGGGACCGAAGGACAGGAGCUCACCCCGCCGCGGGGAUUCGAACCGCCAACCUUACGAUCAGCAAGUCCUAGGAACUGAGGUUUUACCCACAGCGCCACCUGCGUCCCUAGCGCCACCCGCGUCCCUAUUUAAUUUAUUUAUUACGUUCAUAUACCCCACUUCGUAUGAAGAUCUCAGGGUGGUUCACAACAUAAAAAUACAAAACAAGAACACAAAAUACAUAAUAAAAACAAAAACGCUUGGUGUUUCAGCAGCGGUUGGCUAGCCAUCUGUCAGGGAUUCUUGCCUUGCCUAGAUGGCCCUUGAGGUCCCUUCCAGCUCUACAGCUCUAUGAUUCUACAAUACCUAAGGUUGCUCUGGGAAGGGUGAACCACAAAGCAUUCCUCGGAAUUCAGAGAGAAAUAUAUUUUAUAUUGGAAGCAUAAACUAAAAUGGCAAAAGGUGUGGAGGUAGUUCUUGUGGUAAUUUGAGGUUUUCAUUUCCUUUUUCCUAUACCGGUAAUUGGGUCACAGUGGCAAUGAGGGGUGCAAUGCGAACCUUUGAGAGGCGGCCGUAGGCCUUCCUGAAGCACAGAAGACCCCACACCUAGAGCUUGGCUUCUAAUGCUGGCCAAGGCAAAGUGCGGGGGGGGGAGAGCAAUUACUGGCUCUGGGAUGGCUGUCAGAGAAAGUGGGAUCAGACCCGUUGCCCCAGUCUUUUGGCAGCUGGACUUGCUUAGCACACUCAGUUCUGCCCUACCCCCGUCCCAUGAGAUCUUGCGAGAGCAUCCCAGGGCACACCUUGGUGUGCAGAGAGGGCCUUUUCUCUCUGCACCCCUCCCUAUAUAGAAAGAUUAAAAGAGAUUUUUGUGCUGGGAAAAGCCAGUGCAAAAAGAACUUUAAAACAAUAAAGUUCUCUGCCUUGCUCGGGGACUUUGCACCAGCCCUGGAAGCCCACUAAUACUCAUGCAGCGGCAUUUCCAAGGGUUUGAAUAUAUGUGGUUUUGUGUCUAUGUGGAACUCUUGGAACUGAACCUCCGUGUAAGAUGCAACUGCAGUGCAAUUGGCUCUGCCUGUCCUUGGUCCUGGAGCCCCCUAUGGUUGCCCCUGGUCGCCACUGGUUCAUCCCUCCCAGGGAGAGCGGAAAAUCCUUCCCAUAAGAGAGUUUCCUCGUUCAGUCAGCCUUAAAGAUCUCUCCAGCCGUGCUUGCUUUCUAAACACAAAUGCCACCUGAGAAAUCAAUAGAGACCUUGGAGGGAUCCUGUAAAUACUUUACUAUAAGAAAUGGGGACAAAGCAUGGAAGAAAUGAGAGGCUUUGAUAUUAUAAUCCUGUCCCAGAGACAGUCCCUUGAAACAGUAAAUGCGUACCUUUCUGGAGACAUUUAAGACACAGGAAGACCCCUGCUAGAUCAGGCCAGCACUAUGUUCUCACCGUGGCCAAGCAGAUGCCUCUGGGUGGGAAACCCACAAGCAAGACCUGAAUGCAACCCAGGAUUCCACCCAUGGGCAUUCAGAGCCAUACUGCGCAGUAUGGGGGGGGGGAAUAGAAGAGAGGAGGUGGCAGGGGAAGAAACCAAGGAUAAAGUAUAAAUUGCUAACAUACACUAAGGAAAGAGAUGGCUUCUCCCUGCCAGAUCUGAGAUUAUAUUAUGAGGCGUCCUGCCUAUGCUGGCUGCGGAAGUGGAUUGAUUUAAAGAAUGUGGAUGUUCUGGACUUAGAAGGCUAUGAUAAUAGAUUUGGUUGACAUGCAUAUUUAUGGUAUGAAAAGACAAAAGUUCAUAAAGGUUUCCUAAACCACUUAGUAAGAAAAACAAUUUCCUUGGGCAUUCAGAGUCAUAUUGUGCCUGGCAGUACGAGGGGGAAUAGAAGGGAGGAGGUGGUGGAUUCUGAAAGAAGUGGACAUUUAAGAACAUAAGAAGAGCACUGCUAGAUCAGGCCAAUGUUGGAUCAGUCUAUUAUUAUUAUUAUUAUUAUUAUUAUUAUUAUUACCCUUAAUGUAUAUGCCACACUGCAUCAAGAGACUAGGGGGUUGCUAAAACGACUGUUCACUCAUGUAAAAAGGAAGGGCAGCAGCAUUUAUUUGGCAGAGAAGGAGCUAAAUGGCUUCAAGUCCUUUUCCCUACUCAAUGGGAUGGGCUGAAACCGCUCCCUUUGCAAACAAGGAGUUGUCACUCAUACAAUAUGAAAAGACCUUGGCACAAUGAAAGCUAAGGCCAGGAGGCAAAAAUGGAUGGAUUAUCCCAUAAAUCAAACACUUGGUGCUGUUGGAAAAAGCCUAAGGGGAUGGUAGGAAGUGGGAGCAGGUUUUUUACUGCAUCACUCAGCCAUGAGGGAUUGGCUUUCUUCUCUCCAUCUUAAAGAGAGAGAGAGGUGCUUCUGCUAUUCUUUUCCAUUCUUUUCCUUUUACUAUUCAUAUAUAUCCCCCCCCCCCGAAAGUUCUCUCUGUAAGAUGCUCACAGGUUAAAACAAAAUAAAAAUUCUCUCCCUUGUGUCCACUCAGUCAAGAAGAACAAGGAGCUCCUCUGCUGCACUGUGAUCCUGAUGCCCCUCUGAUGUUGCUGGAACACCCCAAAAUUAUUCAGGACUCUUCCUUAGAAGAAGGAAUUGAGGCUCCAGAUUAGCUGCUCCCUUGAGGCUCUCCUCAUCUCCAUCUGCCAGGUGCGCUUGCCAGCGUCGUCGCAGCCGUGCAACGGUCACAGCAGGCUCUACAGGAGGCCCCUGGAUGUGAGCACAGCCAAGGGAGCGCUGCUCAGAAAAGCUGCUGUGCAAUUAAUUGAGGACGCCUUGCUUUGUGCUGUGGGGACAUUCGGCAGAGUAAAGGCAGAAGCACUGAGGAACAAUGGGAGGUAUUUGUGUGGAUUCCAGCCUGCUGUGAAACAGGAUUGUUUCCUCUUAAACUCCUGCCUUUGCUGUAGGCUCUUUUUCUCUCUUCCUUGUCUUCAUCUGGCAUAGAUCUUUCGUACUGUCGAUGCACAGGUAGUUUUCUAGCUGAUUCUGUCACUUCAAGUUUACUCUAGGCUUUCAACAAGCACUAAUGCACAAACACCCAAUCCUCCUUCCCUGGAAGUAGCUGUGCUCCAGUCUGCGCAGAGGUUGCAACCUCUGCCAUGGAGACAUAUUUCUGGCUCAAUUUACCCAUCGUUUAAUGAUCCAGAACACCGUGAUCUCCAAUAGAAGGUCACAGCCCUGCCUCUUCAUUAAUUUUAGUGGAAAAUCCUCUUCAUCAUUCAAGCAUUAUUUGGCAGCUCCACACAGACGUCGGGUUAAGAGAGAGGAAACUGAUAUUUGCUGAUAUUUGGAGAGCUAAUUUUAUUGUGAACUAUUAUAUUCUAAUAGAAUAUUGAAUAUUGCUUUAUUUGGUUCAAGUUUGUUUUAAAGUCGUAUUUUUAUUAUGAUGUAUUUGCAUUGGAUCGGUUUGGUACAGGUUUACAGUUGGGCUGAGGAAACAAGGUGCUCACUUGCUCUUCUUUAAAAAGAAAAAUCUUUAGUGGCAUUAUUAACAGCCCAAAAGUGCAGUAGCAGCGGAUUGCAUCAUACCACAUACAAAGCAAAGAAGCGAUAAAUAAUAAGAGAAGGAAAUGAUAAGGCAUCAAUAUACAUGAAGGCGUUCAUAUUUCCUGAGCUGGUAUGGAUGGAGAAGUCUGAAGCAUAGGAAGUAAAAUCCUGCCAGCUUUCUGGAUGGCCCACCGCCCCAAAAACUCACAGAUUAUGUGUAUCCCCCCCCCCCCCGCAAUAGCCAAAGUCCACAAGUCUUUAUACCAUACAGCCAACUGCAGAUUUUUCAAGUCUUUCCAUGGCUGGGCUAUUGAAAUCCUAGCAGCAGCUCACAUCUGUGUCCAAAGCUCCUUAGAGCGACAGGCUUCAUGUUGUCUGUCCACAUGCAUAGCAGUGACAGGUGUGGGGAAGCCUGAGCAGGUGAUUUAAUUAUUUUAGAUAUUUCUUGGUAUACUUGGAACCAAAAUAAUGAAACCAAGGAUGGAAGGAUGUCCCUCAGAGCCCAAAAGCCCCUUCAUCAACCCUUUGUUUUGUUUAUAUAAUUUUUAUUAAAGAUUUUCAUUGGUUACAAAAGUAUGUGCUUUGUCUCUUUUUCAGGUUGUAGAGUCUUUUCUACAGAUCAGUUACAUUCGAUGUGAGACAUUAGUGCUGGAUACAGGAUAAGGCUGGGGGAGAAGGGGGGGGAGGAUGUUAAAACCAGCAUUCUUUUACUUAGUGAAUGUGUGGGGUUUUGGCAUCACUAGGGUAAGUUCUCUUUCUAUUCAGUCAUUGUUUUUCCUUGGCCGUGAGAGAGGUGGGGCGGGGUGGGUCUUGGUUGGUUAUCUUUAUUUGACUGCAUUGAGAGUUGUUUGCGGUGGGGGAGAUUGCUAGGCAUAUGGAUUCAUAUGCCAUCAAUCCUGUCUUGACUGCCCUGUAAUAGAAGACCUCUGCACAGGUGUGCGAUGCCAUCUGGGCAGAUUCCACCUGUGCUGGGGAAGCAGGGUGCUCCCUUGUUCUUCAGGUUUAUUCUUUAAUCCUGAAGUGCUCAGGUAAACUCAAACUUGAGCAGCAUUAUUUAAGUAUAAUAGACAGCAAACCUGCUUCUUCCUCAGCCCCCUGGCCCAGCACAUAUUCAGGGCAGCACAUUAGGAAAGGCUGUAUUGGUGUUCGAGGAUAGAUGUGGUUUAACAUGCUCAUGGUGUGGAAGAAGAGCUUGGCAUUAUCCAUGAAGCAUUGUCCAUUGGGACCCCUGAACUUAAAACUGCAGGAGUCAAAGAGAUGAUGGGUUAUUUUAUUAUAUUUUUAUUUUCUGUGUUCUUGGACUUGAAGCCCAAGGAGGAGGAAAUGGCCAGGGAACAGAAAUCUCAAACCAGUAAACUCUGGUGAACCUCUUCCUCCUCUGCUCCCAAAAGACACUCCAUUAGAUGGUACAUUAGGAGCAUGUACUUGCAAGAUCCGAAUCCUUUCAAGUGUACGUUCUGCAAUAAAGUCUGCAGCUCAAGCAGCAAUUGGCAUUAUUUCAGCUAUUUGUCUGAAAGCUCUUUUCAUCUCUGUUGACAAGAUUUGAUACCUUCCUGUUUUGUUUUAUCUUUUGUUUUAGGCUUGAGUGCAACAACAUCAGCUUUUAUUUUGCGUUUCAUUUCGUUUCUCCUUCGAAAUGAUUUUGGGCUGGCUGUGUUAUCUGCAAUGAUGGGAGAAGCCUGAUAAAAGGUCUUAGGUUCAUUUUGAGGACCAGGCGAGGCAGCUGUCUUAAUCUCACAAGGCGCUAUCUGCAUGUGCAAACUGGGUUUUCAGAGAAUCUUAUCAUUUUCAACAUUCAUUUCAAAGGUUAACUGAAAAGAUUACAAAGAAGGAUUGACUUCGCUGACUUUUCUUCUGUUGCAAUGCUGUGUUCUUCCUUCGUUUGCUUUUGGAAAACUCUUAGAAUCUGCCUCUCUCUCUCUUUUACGUUUUCAAGGUGGUUAGCAAAAAUUAAACAAACAAGAAAAAUAACAAUAACUGAUCUUUUUAAUUAUUAAAUUUAUUGAUCACGUUUUUACCCACAUAACUUGUUACUUACAGUAAAAAACAAACAAGCAAAUAGAUACAUUAAGAUAUUAAAAAAAGUAAACUCUAAAAGCUGGAUGAAAACAUUCUCCUGCUCACAGAGGCCAUGGAAAAUUAAAAUCCAAAGGCCUGGAGGGAAAGGAAUGUUUUUCACUUGGUGCCAAAGAUAUGAAAUGACGGGAUUCAAGAAGCAGACCUCUGGUUUAUCGCUAUGGUGGAAGGGCACGGGUUCGCUCCUCAGCAAUGAACCUGAUCGGGGGUCUAAGGGGGGAGUGAAGGCAACGCAAAUCCCUAAAAAACUUAAGAGGGGUUCUUGAGUUUUGAAAGAAUCCAGCAGCGCAGAAAAGGAGUUUCCCGGAUGCCCUGUCACCCCGCGAGGAGAAGGAGAAGGAGAAGGGGGAGUGGGGAGGAGAAGGAAUUGGAGGGAGGGGAAAAGGAAAAUAAAAAAGUGAGGGAGACUACGUAGGAAAUAACUAGAUGAACAUAAGAAAUAACUAUAGAAAGAAAUAGUGAGCUGGGGAAAAGAAAAAGGAAAGGAAAUAUCUGUUCUUAGGGAUAGGAUAGGAUAGGAGAGAGAGAGAAAUUAGACUUUUGAGACAAUAUUCUUGACAGAAGACAAUCAGAAAAAUGACAACCAAAAAACACAAACUUUGACAAGCUUAACUAUCUCUUCUUCAUUACAAGCAAGAAGAGGUUCAAUGUUAGAAAUUGACCCAAAUGCAGAUAUUAAAGAGCUGAUACUGGGAAUGAGAAAAGAUAGGAAUGACAAUGCAAGAGCCCUAGAUGAAAAAUUAGAUGCAAUGGGGACUAAAAUUGAACAAAAUGCAAAGUUAAUUGUAGAACUGACAGGACAAAUUAAGGACCUUUCGGUCAAAAAUAAAGAAUUGGACAAAUCGAUGUUAGAAAUUAAAAACAAAUCACAUAAACCAGAAGUAGUUUUAAAAAGUGCAGAAUGAAUACAAAGAUAUGGAGAAAAAUCAGGAAAAAGUGAAAGAGGAAAUUAAAUAAUUGAAAGAGACGCAAGAGGCAACUUGGGAUGUGGCUGCCAUGCUAGAGAUGAUGCAACGGGAGAUGACCUUACGCUUUCAGGGAUGCCCAGAAGAAGGGGAGAAAAUAAUAAAAGAACUGGCCAACGGGUUGGAAGUACAAGAGGAAGAAAUCUCUGGGUGCAUAGAGAAAGCAUUUAGAGUGAAAUCGAUACGUGCCAAAACCAAUAAAUGGCCAGGAGAUUGUCUUGUAACAUUCAACUCAAGAGUACUAAAAGACAAAAUUCUACAAAAUAUUUUUUUAAAAAAAGGCUUAGAAUAGAUGAAAAGAAUAUUAUUAUACUCAGGGAGAUCCCAGUUCAAUUGUUGAAGAAAAGAAACAACUAUAAAUUCCUAGCUGAAGCUUUAAAAAAUAACUCCAUCUCGUAUAGAUGGGAAUACCCAGAGGGGAUAUCAUUUACCUACGGGGGGGGGGCAGAAUUGCAAAACAAUGGAAGAGGUAGAUAAGUUUUGGAGAAGAUAUAGGAAAGAUUUAGGAGGGGAGACUUCACAGGAGGAGGGGGAAGAAAGGGAAGAACUGAAUGUACUACCAAAAAUGCUCUUUCAUCUGGCAAGGGAAAAGAUCAAAAAUCAGCUUUUAAUUGAUAUAAAAGAAAGGGGGGGUUUUGCUACCAGAUUUAAAGCUAUAUUACGAAGCCGCAUGCCUCACCUGGAUAAAGGAGUGUGCAUUUUACAGGACUCAGACCUACUAGACUUGGAAAGCCAAGAUAAAGCCAUGAUAAGGCCAUGAUAAGAAGACCCCUUUAUAUGGUCUGCGCAAAAUAUAAAGAUCUUUUAGAACCAAAAACACCAUGGUGGAUUUCCCCCCUGGUGUGAUGGCCUGGGACUCGGGGUCGGACUCGGAGCCAGAGGAGUCUCAGUCCGCACCGAAUCCUUUGUCUCAGGUGGCAGCUGAACCUAGUCUUGGGCCUGAUUCUGAAGGUUCCCCUGCAACAAGCAUCAGCUGGGCUGAGUCAGGAGCCUGAGCCUGCUCUGGCUCCAGAUGCAGGGAUUACCUCGUUGCCUCCAGCUGGGCCAUCACUUACAGCUGCUCCACUACUGGUUGGGUCAGGGGAGGCUGAGGCGCCCUCUAGGUCUAGUAACCCACCGACAUCUCCCAUGCUGCAGAGACUGAGGUCUGAGAGAAGGAGAGACCUGAGUACUCGCAGGAGGAGUGCUCGCCUUCGGGCGAGACAGGGAGGUGAGUCGCCAGGGUAUCAGGACUGGUCAUUAUCCCGACAGAGAUAAAAGGCUGCUGGACCCCACCCCAGGUUGCGGGAGCAACGUUGCUGUUUGCCAGAACCUGCCUGUGAUCCUGUGCCUGACCUUGCCUGGUUUCCUGCCUUGUGUCCUGCCUUGGCCCUGUCGGACUGACUCUUCACAGAACCCUUGGAUUCGGGACUGGACCUGGACCGCGUUAUUCAGGUUACCCCCGGCCCAGCACACCUGGAAGCCUUCUCCGUAAAAAAGAAAAACAUGAAAGAAAAUUGGUCGACAUAUAAAAUAUUAGUAAAGAAGAUAAUCAAUUGAAACUCAAAAAAUUUUAGGAAAUAAGAAUACAUGUCAAAUUGGUUCCAAUUUCAUCAAUUGUACGAAACAUUUAAAGUGGAUAUAAGAAAAAGAUUUGCAACAGAAACAUCUCUAUUAGAAAAUGAUUUGAUUAUCUCAAAAACCAAAACGCUUUCCAAAAUGUACUGACUCCUCCCUGACUAGGAAGUCGAGGAGGAGGAGGAGGUAAAAUCUGUCAUUAUAAAGUGGGUACAGGACUUUGGUUACAACAUAUUAAUGAAAGAUUGGGGAAACCUCUGGAGGAAUAACGUGAAAUUUACUGCUUGUUAUACACUGAGAGAAAACUUUCUGAAAAUGCAGCACCGUUGGUACAUCACCCCAUAAAACUAUCAAAAAUGUAUAAGAAUGUGUCAAAUAAAUUUUGGAGAUGCAGUGGUGCAGUGGGAUCUAUGAUAAAUAUGUGGUGGACUUGCAGAAAAUUUAAGGAAUUCUGAGACAAAGUAUAUACAGAACAAAAAUAAAUGCUUAAGAUGUGUUUAUUAAAAAAGCAGAAGCCUUCCUUCUUGGGAUAUUAGGCUCUGAUAUCCCAAUAAGUGUAAGGGAAUUAUUUCUAUAUGUGACGGUGGCCGUGAGAAUUCUAAUACAGUGGUACCUCUGGUUACGUACUUAAUUUGUUCCAGAGGUCCAUUCUUACCUGAAGCACCACUUUAGCUAAUGGGGCCUCCCGCUGCUGCCACGCGAUUUCUCUUCUCAUCCUGAAGCAAAGUUCUUAACCUGAGGUACUACUUCUGGGUUAGCAGAGUCUGUAACCUGAAGCGUAUGUAACCCGAGGUACCACUGUAGCAUCAAAUUGGAAAAGAAUAUCAUCAAAAUGGGAGUGGCAACAGAAAUUAAUGGAGUAUGCAGAACUGGCCAAAUUAUCAGGAAGAAUAAGAAUCAUAGAAUCAUAGAGUUGGAAGAGACCACAAGGGCCAUCGAGUCCAACCCCCCUGCCAAGCAGGAAACACCAUCAGAGCACUCCUGACAUAUGGUUGUCAAGCCUCUGCUUAAAGACCUCCAAAGAAGGAGACUCCACCACACUCCUUGGCAGCAAAUUCCACUGUCGAACAGCUCUUACUGUCAGGAAGUUCUUCCUAAUGUUUAGGUGGAAUCUUCUUUCUUGUAGUUUGGAUCCAUUUCUCCGUGUCCGCUUCUCUGGAGCAGCAGAAAACAACCUUUCCCCUUGACCUUGUAGAUCAAGCUUUCUUUAAUAAAUGAGGUUUAUUUAAAAAUUACAUAAAAGACAGCAACAAUAUAAAAUCUGUGGCAGCCUUGGAAUAUCUUCUGUUAUAUACAUAUCGAAUAGGACUAAGAAAGUACAGUAUCUUAGCUAAGCAUUUAUUUAAAGUGGAUACAAAUGGUGCGCUAGAUAAAUAUACACUUAAUGUUAGAUGGAAUUGGUGGGAAGUCAACGGAACUAGAAGAAGACUGUGAUAAAGUGUAAUAGAUAUUAAUGAUUUUUUGAUGUUUAUUUGUUAUGGAUAACCUUGAUUUUGUGUUGUUAUUUUUUUGUAAAAGUUCAAUAAUGCAAUAAAAAAGGGAAGAACUGUCAGGAGAUAAAGCAGACUAAUGAAAGAAUUAAACAGUAAGACAAGGUAGAAGUUUUCUCUCUUAAUUUCAUUUUUCAUAUUUUUAUUUUAUUGUUUGUUGAGAUUGACAGUGUGUUAACCAUGGACUUAAAAAUUAUUACAUGGAAUAUUAAUGGAUUGAAUAAUAAAACAAAAAUAAAUAGAGCAUAUCCUGAUGAAACAGAGAUGGGACAUAUUAUGUGUACAAGAAACCCAUGUAGUGAGGAAACAUAGAAGGGUGUUGUCUAAUAAAAAAUUAGGAAUAGACUUUAUAUCAUCAGACAAAGUUAAGAAAAGGGAAAAGGGAUCUAUGCCAAUCCUAAAUUAACCCCGGAUUUACUAUUCAAAGAUAAUGAAGGCAGGAUGAUAGCUGUACAAAUAACAUUGCAAAAAGAGAAAAUGGUUAUUAUAGGAAUAUAUGCCCCAAAUGAAAGAAAAGCAGAAUUGUGUAAGACACUGCAAGAUAAAAUAUUAGAUUAUAAUAAGAAAAAAAUAAUUAUGCUAGGAGACUGAUGAAGUAGUCUCCUUGGAGUUAGAUAGAACGGCAAGGAAGUCAGAUACAAAGGAAGGAAAACUGCCUCUAACUUUCUUUCAAAUGGUAGAGGAUUUGAGCUUAACAGAUGCAUGGAGGUAUAAACACCCAGAGCCUAACCAGUCAGUUGGAAGACUAGAUGCCAUUUGGAUAUCAAUGGACUUAUUGUUAAGGAUCAAGAAAACAGAAUCCACAAUCCAGUUACUUUGGAACUGAGAGGAGAGAGGAAAUUACCACAAAGAUGGAGAAUGAAUGAAACAUAUUGAAUGAUGAAAUUAUUUUAUUGAAAGCAAAGAAAUCCUUGAGAGAAUAUUUUCAACAUAACUUAAGUCAAGGGAUGGACAUUAAGGUAGUUUGGGAUGCCAGCAAAGCAGUCAUUAGGAGCUUCUUCAUCCAACAAAAUGCCAUUCAAAGGAAAGAAAAAGAAAAGAAAAAGAUCAAGAUCAGGGAGGAGAUAAGCAAAAAUGAGAAAGAGCUAUUAAAAAACCCACGAAACAAGGCAGUAAAACAAAAUAUUAAAAUGUUACAAAUUCAAUUUUCUAUACUUCUGAACCAGGAAAUCGGAUGGAAAAUUAAAAUGGUAAAACAAAGGAAUUUUGAAUUUGCAAACAAACUGGGGAGAAUGUUAGUAUGGCAAUUAAAGAAGAAACUCCUAACACUGCCCGGAAGGAAGGAGCGAGAGAGGAGAGAGAAAGCAUGUGGGGUGGGAUAUCCAUCUCCCAGGCAUUGGAUCCAAGCCAGCUCCCAGACAUGUAUAGCAAGGCCAAAAUUUACGGCUUGUUUUACUAUAAAGGGAAACUUUAUGAAGACGUUAUACAGGUGGUACAUUACACCCAGCAAAUUGGCUAAAAUGUAUAAAACUGAUUCAAAUUUAUGCUGGAAGUGUAGAGAAUUAGAGGGAACAAUGUACCACAUGUGGUGGAGUUGUAAAAAAAUAAAGAGCUUUUGGGAAGUUAUAUACAAUGAAUUUUAAAAUAUGUUCAAAUUAAUGUUUACCAAAAAACCUGAAGCCUUCCUCUUAGGCAUUACGGCAUCAGACAUUCCGAGAGAGAGAAGGAGGAUUUUUAUCUACACAACAACUGCAGCGAGUUAGUGAUAGGGUGGAAAGGAGACAAAAUUCCAACAAAAGAGGAGUGGCAGGUUAAAUUAUUUGAGCAUAUGGAAUUAGCAAAAAUUACAGAGAAGAUCAGGGAUCGGUCAACCUGAAAGUUUAACAAUGAAUGGGACAUUUAUAGAUUAUAUUUAAAAGAACAUUGUCCCCACAUCAAAGCUUUGACUAACUCUUGUAAUAACAUAAGGCAAAAAGAGCACAAACCACAUUUAAUACAGGUUAAGUUUGUUGAAAAAUAGAUGCAAUUAAUAAGGAAACAAAGGACCCACACUGAGGAGGUCGGAAGUCGGUGGAGAAAGUAGUCUGUCCAUAACAUUUUUGUGUUUUGAUGUUGUAUUAUUUUCUUCUUCUUUUUUUGAGUUAUGAUUUAUUUUUCCUGUGUGUAUUGUUUAUAAACUAAUAAAGAUUGAAUUGGCAAAGAUAUGCAACGAUGGUGCCAGGUGGGCCUCCCCAGGGAGAGGAUCCCACAAGCUACAUAUCAGCCCAAGGCCCUUGGGCAAAUCAUCAGUUAAGUGGCCGGCCUCUCUAGAGGAACCUGCUCAACUGCAAUAUGUUACUCUGGGCCCUUGGCUGCUCCAUCCCUUCAGAGAUUGGCGACCUCCUGCUGGCUGGAGAUUCAUUUGCUCUCAGCACUCUGGCAGCACAGCUACUUUGUUCCUCCGAGGAGUUUCACCCCCACCCCGGACGUCUUCCAUAAGUCUUUGCUUUUGGCCCUGCUAUACAUGUCUGGGAGCUGGCUUGGAUCCAAUGCCUGGGAGAUGGAGCUCUAUCUGUUAAUCCCCCACCCCACAUGCUUCCUCUCUCCUCUCUUGCUCCUGGCAAAGUUAGGAGUUCAUAAUUAAUCUGGAAGUGGAGAGGUGUAAGGAGCUCGUUGGAGCCAUUUUAGUAAAUGUCAGCAGAGGCAGGAAACCUUCCCAAGUUUUAUUAAAGUAUGCAAAUCCAGAGAGUACAUAUACAGGCAGCUCCAGGGGCUCCCCUGUCCCUAGUCAUCGAUAAUGGAACAUUUUAGAGCUGCCUCUAAAGUGGUCAAGCUGUCUCUGUCCAUCUUUAGGCUUUACCACCUGCAACUGGUUUCACAGCUCUGGCCAUUCCUGGACCAGGAAAGCCUGGCCGCAACAGUCCAUGUAUUGGUUGCUUCAGGACUGGACUGCAGCUCUGUGCUCGAUGUGGGGCUUCCCUCAUGUUGGAUCCGUUAACUGCCAUUAAAGCAGGAUGCUGCAACACGAUUGCUGGUGGGAGUGAGGCCUUGUCUGCGUAUCACUCCUGCACUCAGCAAUCUGUACUUGCUACCCAUUUGCUGAGUUCAAGCUUGGCAGCAUCCUUCUUAAAUUGUAGCCCCACAGCUGGACACAGGACUCCAGGUGUGCUCUGACCAAGGCAGAGUAGAGCAGGACUAAUACUUCCCUUGAUCUGGACAUGAGACCUCUGUGGAUGCAGCCUAGAAUGCUGUUUGCUUUUUUCCUUACUGCAUCACACUGUUGACUCAUGUUAAUCAAAUAAUAAUAAUAAUAAUAAUAAUAAUAAUAAUAAUAAUAAUAUUUAUACCCCACCCAUCUGGCAGGGCUUCCCCAGCCACUCUGGGCGGCUUUCAACAAAAUAUUAAAAUACAGUAAUGAAUCAAACAUUAAAAGCUUCCCUAAACAGAGUCUUCUUCUUUUUUUUUUUUAAAUGAUAUUUAUUCCAAGUUUAAAAUUACAGGGGGGGGGGAAACAAUACAAAAUACAAAGAAAAAUUUAAGCAUAACAAAGCAAAACAUAACAAGAAAAAAAUGAACAAUAAAAUAGGAAAAAAAGAAGACGAAACAAAAAAUAUAAAAAUGCAUUGAGUUAAAAUAGAACAAAAACAGAUUAAACCUUUACAUAAUCUUUUCCCUUUACUUAUUUCCAUGACCUCCUCUCACCUCCCAAUUUUGUAUUCUAGUUCAGAUCGUAUUUCCAGCAAAUCCUUCUAACCUUAUUUUCAUUUGCGUAUUUUAAUUUAAAAUAAUGUAGUUAAACAUCCUCUGUUUCAUCAAUUUCAUCAACUCAAUUUCACUUAGUCCUUUAUAUCAUAUCUACCAAAACGACCUAAUUUUCUUUUUCCAACAUCUUUCUAACAGUCUUUUAUGUUACAGUAUUUUUGAAGAUAUAUUUUGAAUUUUUUCCAAUCUUCUUCCAUCGACCCUUCUCCCUGGUCUCGAAUUCUGCCAGUCAUCUCAGCCAGUUCCAUGUAGUCCAUCACUUUCAUCUGCCAUUCUUCUCGGGUGGGUAAUUCUUGUGUCUUCCAGUACUUUCCGAUGAGUAUUCUUGCUGCUGUUGUAGCAUACAUAAAAAAAGUUCUACCCUCCUUUCGCACCAAUUGGCCGACCAUGCCCAGAAGAAAGGCCUCUGGUUUCUUCAGGAAGGUAUACUUAAAUACCUUUUUCAAUUCAUUAUAUAUCAUUUCCCAGAAAGGCUUAAUCCUUGGGCACGUCCACCAAAGGUGAAAGAAUGUCCCUUCAGUUUCUUUACAUUUCCAGCAUUUAUUAUCGGGCAAAUGAUAGAUUUUUGCAAGCUUGACUGGGGUCAUGUACCACCUGUAAAUCAGUUUCAUAAUAUUCUCUCUUAGGGCAUUACAUGCCGUAAACUUCAUACCUGUGGUCCAUAACUGUUCCCAGUCAGCAAACAUAAUAUUAUGUCCAACAUCUUGUGCCCAUUUAAUCAUAGCAGAUUUCACCGUUUCAUCGUGAGUAUUCCAUUUCAACAGCAGGUUAUACAUUCUUGACAGAUUCUUAGUUUUGGGUUCUAACAGUUCUGUUUCUAGUUUUGAUUUUUCCACCUGGAAGCCAAUUUUCUUAUCCAAAUUAUAUGCCUCCAUUAUCUGAUAAUAAUGAAGUCUCUUUUUAUUAUUAUUAUUAUCAACUAAACAGAGUCUUCUAAAAGUCUGGUAGUUGUUUUUCUCUUUGACAUCUGGUGGGAGGGCAGGUGCCACCACUGAGAAGGCCCUCUGCCUGGUUCCCUGUAACUUGGCUUCUCGCAGUGAGGAAACUGCCAGAAGGCCCUCAGCGCUGGACCUCAGUGUCCUGGCUGAACGAUGGAGGUGGAGACGCUCCUUCAAGUCUACUGGGCCGAGGCCGUUUAGGUGCUUUCAAGGUGAGCACCAACACUUUGAAUUGUGCUCGGAAACGUACUGGGAGUCAAUGUAGGUCUUUCAGGACCGGUGUUAUAUGGUUUCGGCAGCCACUCCCAGUCACCAGUCUAGCUGCCACAUUCUGGAUUAGUUGCAGUAUAUAAAUGCACUGAAAUUAAAUAAAUAAAUAAACGCCCCCUUCUUCUGUAUGUCCUGUUUAUUUCAAUAAUUCGCCUUUCGUGAAACCAUCUCUGUUCUGGUGGUGGGGAGUUUGCUUGUUUUUCAGACCCUCCUCUGGCGCCUGGGCAGGGGAGAGAACUUUGCAUCUUUCUGUAGUCCGUUUUGCUCAGAAUGUAAGUCAAACUAUUUUGAGAGGAAGAGCUUAACAUAUUUUCUGAACCCAUCUGAUGCAAAGCGGGGCCAGUUGCCUGUCUCCAUUUAUUUCUCGGCUUCUGCACAUUGACUGGAAUAAGGCAAAAUGAGCCUCCAUGAGCAGACAGUUCCAUAAACUGGGUCCCACAAACAAAAAGGCCCCGCCCCAAAUACCCACCCAAUGAUAGCUUACCGUAAGUGGAACUUCCAUGCUCAGAGUCUGUCUGAUCCAGAAGGGCUCUGGUGUUCUCACCUCAGAUUUCUGCCCACAGCCCGGCCCUGGCACACAACUAUGGAUCUCUCACGUCUUGCCUGGUUUUGCCUGAGGGAGCUCACGUGCAACAGGAAAACUGCCUCAAAGGCGCAUUUUCCUGAGUGCCUGUGUCUCCAUGCAUGGUGUGGGGUUUUUUUCCUUGUUGUUCUGACUCUCAUUUUUUACAUUUUUCUGCAUAAAGGAAGAUCCAUCACUUUCCUUCAAAGUGACGAUGCUGACCUGAUUAAAAAAAUUAUUGGAUUUUACAAAAUAAUUUCAUACCUUAACAUUCCCUGGAGCCCUGGCAAGGAAGUGGGUGGGAAGGUGUGGAAGCAGCGAGGAGAGUCUAUUAAGGAGGAGGUGGAGAAGUGAAAUAUUUUAUUCCAUUCAAAAGUUAUUGGGCUAGAUGAAUAAUAUAUCGAAGGGCAUGCCGUUUUCAAAAUUGCAUUCUCAUGCCGACUUGUGAAACUUUGCAUGCAUGAGAUGCGCUGUGUUUUCCUUUGAUGGGAGUUUCUCUGGGGGCUGGCUGCCCCUGCUGUAAAUUGAGCAAAGCAGAAGCCCCUCCAUCCUCAGGAGAUUGCAGGGGGAGCUUUCCUUUUCCUCUCUCUUUUUUUGAGGGAGGGGGGCUUCUCCCACCUGAGAAGCCCAGCACAGCAUGUUCCAGCCCUAUGCAGUCAAUCUGUGGGGAGGGGCCAGGUUUGCAGCUGGGACUCCACCCACCGGCCACACCCAGACUCUACAUAUUGGAGGGCCCAUCACAAUAGGGCUGGCAUGCAGAGCUCCCAAUGCGCCAUAAGCCUAGUGGGGGAGAGAGCCUGCUUUGCACACAGCAGGUCCUCAUUCUAACCCCAGCACCUCAGUUAAAAGGAGCAGCUUACCUGGAGGCCCAGCCCCACCACACACCUCCUGCCCCUGACCUGGGCCAGCCGGUCAUUAGAGGAACAUCUGCUUAUAAAUUGGUGCCCGAGUUGGGAGCCUGAUUUCCCUCUUGCCUCCCUGUCACUUUUUCUUUGGUGUGAUAGUUUGCUUAUUUAUUUAUUUAGGUUGCAAGGCUGCCUUGUUUGGAGUGUCUGUAAGCUGCCCUGGGAGCCUUUUGGGCUGAAGACCAGAGUGCAAAUGCGCUAAAUAAAUAAAAAUGAAAAAAUCAACUGGCAAUGUGUGGCUGGGGAAAUCCCUGCUUGCAGCCCUAGAGAGCAGCUGGGCUUGGUGGGCAAACCACCUGACCCAGUCCCAGGGGCUUUCCUAUUUUCAUGUGUGGGCCACUUGAGCAUGGUUGGCAUGGAGUGUGAAGAGAAGAUGUGGAACAAGUGAAGCAUCUCUUAACUGCUGUCAGAAUGAUUAUUUGUUGGGACUGAGAAUGAGAACACCACCCAUGAGAGAAUGGAUAACUAAAAUCUGGGGAUAUAGGAGGCUUGGUUAAGCUUACAUAUAUGGUGAGAACCAGAGAGGGUAGACAACAAGAUAAUUUCUUCAUCGAAAAAUGGAGCCAUCUUUCAACAAUAUACUGGAGUGAUAAGGUUCUGGAGAACACUCAACCAUUUGUGUUACUUGGAACUUCAUGAUAUAGAAUCAUAGAAUCAUAGAAUCAUAGAGUUGGAAGAGACCACAAGGGCCAUCGAGUCCAACCCCCUGCCAAGCAGGAAACACCAUCAGAGCACUCCUGACAUAUGGUUGUCAAGCCUCUGCUUAAAGACCUCCAAAGAAGGAGACUCCACCACACUCCUUGGCAGCAAAUUCCACUGUCGAACAGCUCUUACUGUCAGGAAGUUCUUCCUAAUGUUUAGGUGGAAUCUUCUUUCUUGUAGUUUGGAUUCAUUGCUCCGUGUCCGCUUCUCUGGAGCAGCAGAAAACAACCUUUCUCCCUCCUCUAUGUGACAUCCUUUUAUAUAUUUGAACAAGGCUAUCAUAUCACCCCUUAACCUCCUCUUCUCCAGGCUAAACAUGCCCAGCUCCCUUAGCCGUUCCUCAUAAGGCAUCGUUUCCAGGCCUUUGACCAUUUUGGUUGCCCUCCUCUGGACCCGUUCCAGUUUGUCAGUGUCCUUCUUGAACUGUGGUGCCCAGAACUGGACACAGUACUCCAGGUGAGGUCUGACCAGAGCAGAAUACAGUGGCACUAUUACUUCCCUUGAUCUAGAUGCUAUACUCCUAUUGAUGCAGCCCAGAAUUGCAUUGGCUUUUUGAGCUGCCGCGUCACACUGUUGGCUCAUGUCAAGUUUGUGGUCAACCAAGACUCCUAGAUCCUUUUCACAUGUACUGCUCUCAAGCCAGGUGUCCCCCAUCUUGUAUUUGUGCCUCUCAUUUUUUUGCCCAAGUGCAAUACUUUACAUUUCUCCCUGUUAAAAUUCAUCUUGUUUGUUUUGGCCCAGUUCUCUAAUCUGUCAAGGUCGUUUUGAAGUGUGAUCCUGUCCUCUGGGGUGUUAGCCACCCCUCCCAGUUUGGUGUCAUCUGCAAAUUUGAUGUCAUCUGCAAUUAUUAAAAAAUUAUUAGUUUUCAAUUUUGGUAUGGAAUUCUGUUUCUAUAGGCAUGGCUCUAGAUAUUUCCUUUUCUGCUAUUAUUUCAUUUCAUUUGGCAUCUGUUAUUGUAUUCUGUGGGGUUUUAUUAUAAUAUAUAUUCUUUUUUCUUUUUAAGCUCUGCAACAUGAACUUCAUGACCCCCCAAUGCCCUCGGUGGGGCUUCUGGCAGCAAUCCCCCCAGAUCCUGAAUGAGUGGCAGGAGGUGUCUAGCUGAGGAUCUGUAGAUCAACACAGGCCCUCCACCAAAUUCUCACUUGGGGACAGCAGACAGCUGGCUGGUCAUGUGAUCUCAAUGCCACCUCCUGGCUUCCAUUUGAUUAUCUCUAAUAAUAGACAGAUAUAAAUGCGUCAAAUACUUCCCAAGCAUUGCAUCUCCGUGCAAGCUGUUGGCACAGCUGCUGCAGGGAGACUUUGAGGCAGCAAACAGGAGGGGGGUGCCCAAGAAAAAAAGUGGCUGCUCAUGCAUGUGGCUUCCAUGGUCUGCUGGUCGGAAGGUCCGGGAGGGAGAGUUGGAAGUUGGAGCAUGCAGCCAGCAUCUAGGCAGAGCUGCACUUACAAACCCAAAGGCAACCUGAGAGCUUUGAGCCUCCUCUGAAAGGUAAAGCUCUGGGAGUAUCUUGGGAGCUACUAGGAGCAAGAAGCAAUGGCUCUGUGCACCACUGUCAUGUGGUGAGCCAUGAGGGCUACUGGCAGAGGUGGAUGGUGCCCAAUAGGACUCACAGAGCAGAGAGAGCCAGAGCCAAUGCUAGGCAGAACCAACCCAUUCCAUCUUCAGCCCCAUCUUCCUCCCUGCUGAAUUAUACCAGAGCAACAUGGAGAUGGAGGAUGAGGAGGCUGACAGCCUGGAGGAAGGUAGGCAGAUGAGGGUCUGGCUGAGGGGCAGGCUGACGUUGGUGGGGCAGAGCCCCAUUUUCCUUAAUGAACCCACCUCCACUGGCUACUGGUUGGUGCCUGACCCCAAGCCAUGGGUAGCCAGUGUCCUCCAGAUGCUCCAAGACUGCAACUCUCCUUGUGCCUGGCCAUUGGCUAAUGGCCACGCUGGUUUGGGCUGCGGGGAGCUGGAGUCCCACAAGCAUUUGUGGGGGCACAGUUCAUAGGCACAUAAGGAUUCCUGGGUAUUGGAGGGACUUGGACUAUGCAAGAUGGCAAUUGGCUCACCUGGUCAGAAAAAGAUAUUAAAAUUUCCUGUUGUAGCUGGAACCUUGCCUAGACAAUGGUAGUCUUUUCUGAUUAUGGAUGAACCUUGGAAGCUGCCUUAUCCAGAGCCAAACUAUUGAUCCAUCUAGCUUGGUGUUGGAAAUCUGUUUUGGCCCCAGGGCCACGCUCCUUUCUGGACAAUCUUCUGGGAGCCACAUGCCAGAGGCAAAUGUGGGCAGAGACACAAAUGUAAUUCUUACUUUUGAAAAGUAGACCAGUUUCUACUUUUAGCAAGGGGGAGCCUGCGAGAUCAAGCCAAUGUUCUCAUAGUGGCAGAGCAGAUGACUACGGGAAGGAUACAAGCAGGAUCAGAGUACCAGAGCCCUCUCACCUAUUGUGGUUUCCAGCAACGGGUAUUCAGAACCAUGGAGGCAGCACAUAACCAUUGUUGCUAGUAGCCAUCAUUAGCCCUCUCCUCCAUGAAUCUGCUAAUUCUCUUUUCACAGACACACUCACAAUUCUCUAUCUUCCAUCCAGGCAAGCAAGGAGCAUUACCAGAGAUGAAGAACACUUUGCAGCCUGGCAAAAACACCCAAGGAGGAUGCAAAGCAGAACUAGGGAUGGGUGUGGUCUGGGGAGAGGGGAUGGGACUGGGGAUGGGGAGCCGGCUGGGUAGAGGACCUGAUCCAGGGCCCUAGGGGGUCACUUCUGGCCCCGGAGAUUCCCCAUCCUUGGUCUGCCCCGAUUCUUCAGGGUUUCAGGCCGUGGGCUUUCCCAGCCUGGAGGCACUGGAGAUUGAACUCAGGACUUUCUCAUGCCAGGCACAUACACGCCAACAUUUCUGUGAUGAAAAUAGGAAUGUCCUAAGGAAAAGUGGGACAUUCCAGGAUCAAAUCAGAAACCAGGAUGGCUUCUGUAAAUCUGGAACUGUCCCUGAAAAAUAGGGCACUUGGGGAGGGGGGCUGCAAGCACACACUAUUUCUGGCCCCUUGUCACUUCCCCAUAUACUCCCUAGCCAGCCUAGCCUUCUCCCUUCUGUUUCCAUAUCAACCUGUGAUUAUAAAAAUACAUCAGCACAAGGGGGGGGAGAGUCGCUUUCCUCCUCUCAAAAUAAAUAAGUGGUUUCUCUUAAAAUAUUCAGUUCUAAACAUGAUUUGCCUCAAAAUAUCUGCUUCCAAAUGCAUUUUGACGCAUGUUUGGUGCUGUGACAUGCCACAGCGUGAGGGGGAGCAUGAGAUCCAAGGGGCGGCAGCGCUCCAGUCUGCAUGUUAGCCUGGGAAGUGAGGGCCAAAGCAGCUUCUUCCACCAGCUUUCCUGUUCCCGACUCCUGCCAUGACCAGCUCAGGACUCCCAGGGUGGAUGUGUUGCUUCAGCAAACUUCAGGCCUUCCUGUGCUGAGGGAAUGUGGAGCUGGGAAAAUGCAGGGAGUGCUUCUAGGGGGGCCCUGUGGGCAGGAGGAACAGCCUCGACCCUUCCUCUUCCCAUUCUCCCUUCCCCUGACUUUUAACUGUAAUUGCUUUCAGAAUGUUUUUUACUGAAACUGCUUUUAGAUGUUUAAAAUUAUGGUUGUUGUUUUAGAAAGUUAAAACUGUUUUAGAAUGUUUUUUGCUUGGUUUUUGUUUUUCAAUUGUGUAUCUGUUUUCUGUUGAAUAAAGGUGGGGGGGGUGUCAGGACCCAUAACAGGCAGUACGUACUUCUUUCCGCAGCACAUAGCUAAUCUAUGAAACUCUCUCCCGCAAUGAUGGCCACCACCCUGGAAGGUUUUGGAAGAAGAUUAGGCAAGCGGCAUGGAGGAUAAGACUCUCCCUGGCUUCUAGCUAUGAUCUGCCUGCACUGUUUGAACAGCAAUGCUUCUGAAUCCCAGUUGCUGGAAACCACAGGAGAGGAGAGGGCUCUUAUGCCCGGAUCCUGCUCAUGGGUUUCCCAUGGAGGCAUCUGGUUGACCACUGUGAGUACAGGAUGCUGGACUAGAUGGGUCCUUGGCCUGAUCCAGCAGGGAGCUUCUUAUGUUCUUAAUCAAAAAACAAACCAAUGCCCCUACUCCAGCUGUCCCUUGUUUCCUCAGAGAGGCUUUCCUUCAUUCUCAGACCUGGUUCCACCUGCAGGGAAGAACUGGCAGACAGAGCGAGUUGUUCCUUUCAGGGUUGAGCCCAGCUCAGCUGUGGAAUCCAAGGUCUCCUUGGGAGAAGAAGCAGCACUCAUGGUAACCAUGUUGGCUACAAACUGCCUCAGCUGGCAGAGGCUUAUGAUGCUGAUGAUGGCUUCCCUUUUACAUAUAUGUCUCGAGGUAAUUUGCAGAUAUCUCCUAAAAACAGCUAGAACACUCAUAAAAGCAAUACAACACCCCCCACGCUGGAAAUCGGUUUUAAAAAUAAUGCAAAAUGAGCACCUAAGGCACUGAGAGCUUUUCAUCCAGCUGGAAAAGCUUGUUGAAACAAACAUGCCUUCCAUUAUUCCCAGGAAGUACAAAUGACGACUGUCUGUCAUAUCUCAGCAGGAAUUAUUUGCCUCUGAAAACCAGUUCCUGGGCAUUGCAGAGUGGCCUUCUCAUGAGGAUCUGGCUGGCCACUGAGAGAACAAAGUGCUGGAUCCAACAGGGUUUUUCUGGUGUUCUUAAAUCUUCACACUUCCAGUGAUCCACAAAGAGCUGCUGGAUCCAUUCGCUGGAUCAUCACCUUGUUUUGGUGUGUGGGCUUGCGCAUUCCUAUGACCCUUGUGAGAGAAGCCGUCGGGAGUCUCGUACUCCCACAGGCAACAUGUCAAGAGAGAUUGGUUGAUUGAUUGAUUGAUUGAUUGAUUGCAUUUAUAUCCCAUCUUUCCUGCAAGGAGCUCAAGGUGGCACACCUCCUCCUCAUUUUAUCCUCACAACAACCCUGAUUGGUAGAUUAGGCUGAGAGACAGUGGCUUGCCCAAGGUCACACCCCAUGAGCUCCACAGCCGAGGGGGAUAUGAACACCCGUCUCCCAGGUCGUAAUCUAACAAUCUGACCAUCAUGCCAUGCUGGCUUUCUAGUGGAGAGAGGGGGUGGGAGACAUCAGGCUGGGGGGGGCCUUUCAGGUGCCCCCUUCCUCAGCAAAAGGGGUGGGAGAGAUCAUCAGGUCCGAAGAGAAUCUAAGGGCUCAAUUAGAACCUGUGAGUCAUCAGAACAAAUGGGCUGUUCCAGGGGGUGGUCCAGAGUCCUGGAGCCCUGCCACACUGACCUCCAACCCUUUUCCUCCUGAUUCUUGAGAGAUGCCCCCACCUCUCGUUGCCCCCUCCUCUUGGCCCUGCCAACCCAUAUCCCUCCAAGCUCCUCUAUGAACUUAUUUAUUUAGAGUCUCUGUACCACCGUGCAAUAGGAAGGCGCUUUGAAUGUGCGUUUGUGCCAAGGGCUCUAGAGCAGAGUUUCCCAACCUUGGGUCUCCAGCUGUUUUCGGACUGCAAUUCCCAUCUUCCCUGACCUCUGGCUGUACUACAACCCACAUCAUUCCUGACCAUCGGCCAGACUGGCUGGGGCUGAUGGGAGUCCAGCAGUGUCUGAAGAGCAACAGGUUGGCCAUCUUUGUCCUUGAGUCAUUUUUAUUUAUUCAUUGGAGACUCUGGCACUAACCACCAUCUUUAGUUCUGCUUCCAUUGGAUUCCAUUGGCCAGAUGCCAUGGAUGCUGAAAGGUCACUUCUGUGGAUCAAUUCGUUACCCCAAAGCAAUGGCCAACUGCCCAGUUGUUGCUAUCUGCCAAGGACAGAUCCUGUUUUCUAAUACUGUGUCCAUAUUUUGUCUCUUGUUCACCUUUGGGCAAUUGUUGCAGGCAUGAAUGGAGGAGAAAAUAGAUUCUGUUUGCAUUUCAAACCAAAUCUAUCCAAUUUCCAAUUUCCAAAACAAUACGCAAACCAAAACAGCUAUUUCAAAAUUCACACUUCUCUGAACAGGCCCCUAAAAGAACAAAAACAAACAAGAAAUUUACAGUUUGGGGAACUUAAUACCAUAUUGACCUGAAUAUAAGCCUCACCUUUUCCCCAAAUUCUGACCAUGAAAAGUUAAAGUGCGGCUUAUAUUCGCAACCUUAUGGUAUGCAGCCAGGCAAACAGCGCCAGGAGCCUGGCAAAGCGGUGCCCGCCCUGUGUGUAGUUCCCCGUCCUCUAACCCAAGACCAGGGAGACAGCCAGGAAGGGGAAAGGCCGCUGGCAACGUAGCACAGCCCCCCCCCCCCAGUACACAACAGGAGCAGCAAGGAAUGGAGCGGCUUAUAUUCAGAUUUUUUUCCUUUUUUUCUCUCCCCCCCCCCCCCCAAUUUUAAAGGUGCAGCUUAUAUUCGAGUGUGGCUUAUAUUUGGGUGCAACUUAUAUUCGGGCCAAUACGGUAACUCAUUUUAAAUUUUCAAAGGAAAGCCUGUUCUUAAGUAUUCAGGACCUUUCAGAGAACAAACAGCCAAGCAUCAUCCUAACUACAGAUGGAGAAGAAAUUAGAUUCAGGACACAUUUGAAAUGGAAUCUAUCAAAUUUUCAGUUUCUGAAACAAUAUGUGAACCACAUAUUGGCGCCAUCGGUAAUGGCGGAUUCCCUCUGACUUUCUGAGGGACCAGCUCCGCGGGAUCGGGUCUGCACCGCUGCGGUGAAGCGGGGACCCUUCAAAAAUCACAGGCGGGGGCAGCCUGUGAACGUGGGGACUCGGCGGGCACCUUUUGCGCCCCCCAAUCUGCAAAGGAACCCAUUUACGGGCUCCGGAGCGAAACGGGGUGAGCGGCGCGGUGCUGAGAGUCGACUGCUUUUUCCGCAGAGUGAAGCCGCACAGCCGUUAUCGGAGAGCGCUGACUUUUUCCUGGGACAAUUCGACUUCAAAAGCAACUACCCGUGAGUAGGAUAAAAUUGGAUUUAAAGGGAGAAAAACAAUUAAUUCGGCACCGAAGCGGGGAGGCAUAAACAGGAAGUCCGCCUUCCGUUUCUUGUAAACAGAUCAAAGCAAAGAGACUGUAAGCGGAAACUUUGAAAGACGUUUGAAAAAGGACGCAAAUCCUAACAUCAGAAAAGCGAUCUCCCCUCCGGAUUGCAGGAGAGGAGGGGGGAAAGGUUUGAACUGUAUUUAUCUGCAAAAAAAGAGAGGAAAGGAAGCUAAAAUCCACCGCUUAGAACCUGGGAACGGACUGCCUUAGGACAAGGAAUGCCGUUCUGUGAAAAGCACUAUUGGUAAAUAGAGUACUUUUGACAGCUAACUCUGCAAGAGAGAUACAGUGUUUCUGGACUUCUCCUGGUUUUAAAGUAACUGAUUAAGUGCAAUUGAAACUGUUGUCUUUUUGUGAAUUGGGGGAUUUAUAAAGAUUAUUUUCUUCUCAAAGUUACAAGCUUUGACUGUUACUGUGUCCCCCUAGAGGAGGUUUGACAUUGCUACAAUAACAACUGGGCCAGGGGAAUUUUCCAUUUCAAAACAAAUUCUAGCCGUGGGACUGACCUUGGACUUCUAUUAGAGUGUUAUGGCAGAUGGAAGAGGAAAGCUUUCUGGGAGAUGAUCUAUAAUGAAUUGAAAAAAGUAUUUAAAUAUACCUUCUUGAAGAAACCAGAGGCCUUUCUCCUGGGCAUAGUCGGCCAAUUGGUGCCAAAGAAGGAUAGAACUUUUUUUAUGUAUGCCACAACAGCAGCAAGAAUACUCAUUGCAAAGUAUUGGAAGACACAAGAUCUACCCACUCUGGAAGAAUGGCAGAUGAAGGUGAUUGACUAUAUGGAACUGGCGGAAAUGACUGGCAGAAUCCGAGACCAGGGAGAAGAGUCGGUGGAAGAAGAUUGGAAGAAAUUUAAAGACUAUUUACAGAAAUAUUGUAAAAUUAAUGAAUGUUAGAAUGAUGUUGGAUAGAAAUUAAGUGGUUUUUAGCUGCAAUACUAUAAGGGAAUAUGAAAAAUGGAUUACUAACAGGUAAAAAUUUAAUGUUACAAUAUUUUAAGAUUAAAGAUUAGGAUAAACAAAGAGGGGAAGGAUUUGCUGAACCAACAAACCAAACUGGAAUACAAAAAAGGGAGGCGUGAUAUAAUGGUAUGGGGUUGCUCGUGCGUAAGUUGCCGCCUCUCCUGGCUAUGUUGCCUUGUUAAACCUUUCUGUCUGGACAGCCCUUCUAUUCGUGGCUGCCUCAGUCGCUAGCAGAAUCCGUCAGUGGGCGUUUCUUAAACCUUUUCCAACAUAAAGGUUGUUUGACACCCAGUCUCCUCCUACUUUCUCUGCGCGGAAGUCUUCUGCGCAGGGAGGGCGUGGGUAGCAGAGGACCAGUGCUCUCCCCGCUGGUGUCCGGUGAAGAGUCUGGGAGCCCUCUCUCCGAUUCCCCCAUCUGCCCCUCCUUAUUCCUGGUGUUGCACUGAAUUGCUUCCCCAUCUGCUGAGCUGCCUCUCUCCCUGCUGGGCCCUUCUCCAGCAUCAUUAGAGAGCCUCCCCUCCACCUCUAGCUCCGAUGUCAGUUCCCUGACAUCCACCUCCCCCCCAGGACCCCCUCCACUCCCGGCCCAACCUGUUGAUCCAACUUCGUCCCUUUCUUCGGCCGCCGAUGCAGGGAACCCCCGGAAGGAGCUGUCGUCACACUCAGAGGAUUCGAAGCCCGCUUCCCACCCGUUCUGAUCCCUUCCCGCGGGGUGGGCCUCCCAGUCUGAUUCUUCUUCCUCCGAAACCUCUCCUCCCUCCUCCUCGGAGGCAGGAAAACCCACAAAAUCCUCUUCAUCGUCUGUGGUUCCAAAUUGCUCCUCCCAGAAUCUCGCCAGUGGUUUGGGUUUGCCCGGGAACAGGCGGUGGAAUUCCUCCACCAGAUACCCGUCAUCAAUUGCCUCCGCGGGAACCCACGUGUUUUCCGACCCGGGUUCUCCCUCCCAAGCUACCAAGUACUCCACCUGGCGUCCUCGCCACCUUCAAUCAAGUAUUUCCGUGGCCAAGUGGUGGUGCUCCCUCUCUUCUACCUGCGGGUGUGUGGUGACUUCUCCCUCUCGCCCCGGGAAUUCCCGCCCCUCCCUGUACGGUGAGAGUAGGGACCUAUGGAACACCGGGUGUAUUUUCAUGCUGUCAGGCAACUUGAGCUUGAAUGCCACGGGGUUCACCUGCUGUGUUACUUCAAACGGUCCCAGCCGCCUGGGCUGCAACUUCUUGCACCCCCCCUUAAAGGGUAACCCUUGGGUUGACAACCACACUCUGUCCCCCACCCGUAUGGUUUCCCCUUCCCUACGGUGCUUGUCUGCCUGCCUCUUGUAAAUUUCCUUGGCCCGCUCCAAGUUCAUCUUAAGUUGCUGGUGCAGGGCCUCCAUUUCUUCCACAAACUGCUCUGCCGCAGGCACGCUCCAACUUUCCUCCCCACUCCCCGGGAAGGCCCUGGGGUGACACCCAUAAUUGGCCAUGAACGGGCUCAUUCCCGUGGACACAUGUUCAGCGUUAUUGUACGCAAAUUCAGCCAGCGCUAGUUUCUCCACCCAAUCGUUCUGCCUCUCGCUGACGUAACAGCGUAGGUAUUGCUGGAGUAUACUGUUCGCUCUUUCUGCUUGCCCGUUGGUUUCCGGGUGUCUCGCCGUCGAGAAGCCCACUUCGACCUGUAGCAAGCUCAUGAGCUUCCUCCAGAACCGGGAAGUAAAUUGUUUCCCGCAGUCGGAGAUAACCCUUGAGGGAGCUCCAUGCAACCUGAAGAUGUGAUCUACAAACAACCUGGCUGUUUCCUCUGCCGUAACCGCAUGUGAGCAGGCUAUAAAAUGGCACAUUUUUGUCAGUAAGUCGACCACUACCAUGACUGCUGUCUUUCCCCGGGACUUGGGCAGAUCGGUCAUAAAAUCAAUGGACACCACCUCCCAGGGUUUUCCCGGCGUGCGUAAGGGUUCCAGUAAUCCUGCGGGGGCAGCCCGCUCCCCCUUUGCCCUUUGGCAGCAGUCGCAACCCCGUACAUAUUCCUGUACAUCCUCCCUCCCCCUGGGCCACCAGAACUGCCUGGUGACAAGCAUCAUGGAUUUAUGCUGUCCAAAGUGUCCAGCUGUGGGAUUGUCGUGGAGUUGUUUGAGUACCUUCCCCCGUAGGGUCUCCCCCGGUACAUACAGCGCCCCUUUAUAGUACAGCACCCCUUCCUUCUCCUCAAACCCUCCCUGGGUUUCUCUUCCAUCUCGGAUUUCCCGGAUUUUAGUUUGUGCGAACACGUCGUUUCUAGUGAGUCCGGCCAGUUCUCGUUUCCCCACCAAGAUUCCCCCACACACCCAUCAGUCCUCGGGGAUCACGUGUCGUAUCUCCGGCGGCCCCUCUCCUUCCCAGUACUCUGGCUUCCUGGAGAGCGCAUCUGUUCUCACGUUUUCCUCCCCAGGUACGUAUCGGAUUUCAAAGGAAAACUUGGAGAACUCCUGUGCCCAUCGAAUCUGUCUCUGGUUGAGUACUCGUGCGGUCCUCCAGUAUUCCAAGUUCUUGUGAUCUGUACAAACCUGGAUCUUGUGCUGCGCCCCAUUAGAAGAUGGCGCCAUCGACGAAACGCCGCAUAGAUCACAAGCAGUUCACGGUCACACACAGUAUAGUUUUGCUCCGAUUUGCUCAGCUUUCGCGAGAAAAAGGCACACGGCUUCCAUUCCUGCUUGCUCCUCCCUGGCUGCAAAAGAACCGCCCCAAUGGCUCUGUCGGACGCGUCGGUCUCUAGCCUCAUGGGUUUCUCCAGAUCCACGUGCAGGAGCUGCUCUUCCGAUGCGAACGCCUUCUUCAGUCUUUCAAAGGACUGCUGGGCUCCCUCUGUCCAGACGAACUUCCUUUUGCUACUGAGACAAUCUGUGAUGGGCGCUGUCAAGUGGGCGAAGUUCUUGAUGAACUUCCUGUAGAAGUUGCUGAACCCUAGGAACCUCUGCACGUCCUUCCGGGUUUUGGGAGCCUUCCACUCCAGCACUGCCUGCACCUUGCUUGGGUCCAUCGCUAGGCCCUUGUCUGACAACCUGUACCCCAGAAACUCGACUUCUCUGGCGUGAAACUGACAUUUUUCCAGUUUGACCCACAACUGGUGCUUCUGCAGUAGUUUUAGCACUUCCCUGACAUCCCUGACAUGUUGCUCCUCAUUGUCCGAAUAGAUUAAGACGUCGUCCAAGAAGGCUAUGCAGUUCUUGUACAGCAGGGACCCCAGCACGUGGUGCAUGAAUGCUUGAAAACAGGCGGAGCCCGACUGUAAUCCAAAAGGCAUAACUAGGUACUCAAAGGCCCCUAGGGGUGUGAACAUUGUGGUCUUCCAUUCGUCCCCUUCCCUCAUCCUAAUCAAAUUGUAUGCUCCCCUGAGGUCCAGCUUGGUAAAAAAUUUCCCUUGCCUCACCCGUUUUAAAAUGUCAUCAAUCCUGGGCAUCUGGAAGGUCACAGGUUCCGACACCAAAUUGACGGCCCUAUAGUCCACAACGAGCCUGGGUUUAUUUGUGUCCUUUUUGUCCACAAAGAACACCGGACUGCCCCCCACCGCUUUCGAUUCUCUUAUGAAGCCUCUUUUCAGGUUCUUGUCAAUAAAUUCCUGCAACUCCUUCAUCUCCCUGUCCGACAUGGCAUACAGUUUACCCACCGGCAGCUGCGCUCCUGGGAGCAAGUUGAUUUGGCAGUCAAAGGGCCUAUGGGGGGGUAGUCUAUCCGCCUCCUUCUCGCUGAAGACCUCCUGCAGGUCAGCAUAUUGUGGUGGCACCUCCCCUUUCCGCUCCACAGCUAUCCCAGCCACCCUGGCCACGGUCAUUCUUGGGGUUUCCCCCCCUAGACAGUGUUCCAAACAGUAAGCGGACCCAAAGGUGACCGUCCUCUGAUGCCACGCCACCACUGGAUCAUGUUGUGCUAGCCAGCUCAUCCCUAAUAUUAUUGGGGCCCUGCCAGUGAGGCUACGUGAAAGGCGAUGGUCUCCGAGUGCCUGGAAACCCUCAUUCUCAUUGGUGGGGUCUGGUGUGUCACUUCCCCUCCCAGUAGCUCUCUGCCAUCAAUGGUGGUUACUUGCAAGGGAAAUCUAAGGGCAGCAGGUGGAGCUGGUGCUCUAGUGCAAAGUCCUUGCUGAAGAAAUUGCAGGAACUGCCUGAAUCCAACAGCCCUUUCACCUUGACUGGGUGCCCAUUCGGGAGUUCUAGCACCACUUCUAUGGCUAUAGCCGCCCUGGGGGGGGUCUGGUUGGGGCACUUCUAUUGGUUGCUGGCCUGGCUGCUGUGCCCUCUGAGUGGCAGCCAAGCGUUGUCGUUUCCCGGCUCCUUUGCUUUUUCCACCUCCUCCUCACCCCCUGCAGCUCCCACCAUUCCUUGCCAGGCCUUUCUUUGAGGGCAGACCCUGGCAAAAUGUCCUGGCCGCUGGCAGAGGAAACACUUCUUAUUAGUUUUCCAAUCCUUUCCCUCCUUCUUGCGACCGUCGCUGGAAUUUGAAACCUCCCGCGCGCGCCCCAUCUAUUUCCAUUGGCUCCGCCGGCGGGGAAGGCUGCCUUGGUAUUUCAGGAAUGCGGUAGUCAUGGUAACGUUGCUCUCUCCCUUCCCGCUUCUCCUGAGCCCGCGCUUCCUGCCUUACACCAAUCGCAAGCACAGCCUUGGUCAGCUGAUCCAUCGACUGCAGACUGGGUGCGCGGGAAAGCUCAUCCUUCACCGUUGGGGACAACCCCUCCUCGAACAACAUUUGAAUGGGUUCAGAGUCCAGUUCCCACCCGAGCCGGUGAACUAACAUGGCAAAGCGUGACCAGUAGUCUCUAACUGACUGGUGCCCCUGUUUACAGUUCAUCAGUUCCCGCCGAGUCACACUUUGCUGCACAUCACUGGAGUACAUUGCGUCCAUCGCCUGGAAAAAUUUCCUCAGGUCCUUCAAGGCGGCAUUCUGCGUUGCCAUUAGGGGCCUGAUCCAUUCCCUGGCCCCAUCCUGCAGAUGCCCAACAAUAUAAGCCACCCGCUCCCCGUCGUCUGCAAAAUCAUUCUGCUGCAGUUCCAAAGCGUACUCUAUUUCCGUCCGGAACGCACUAUAGUCCUGAGGCUUCCCUCCAAAUUUGUGUACCAGUCCCGGUACCUUCCUUGCUACGGGGGUGGGUCUGACCUGUGCAUUGUGAGCCCGCCUUUCGUCCAGCCACGCCGUUAGAAGAGCCACAUGCUGCUCCAAAUCUCGGUUCCUCUCCACCAGAUUUUGCACUCCUGCUGCUCCCUCCGUGGCGCCAGCUUCUCCGGUUUUGCUCAUGAUGCUGCCUGCCACUGUGCACAAGCAACGUCAGGGACUGACGGAUUGCUAUAAUGGUAUGGGGUUGCUCGUGCGUAAGUUGCCGCCUCUCCUGGCUAUGAUGCCUUGUUAAACCUUUCUGUCUGGACAGCCCUUCUAUUCGUGGCUGCCUCAGUCGCUAGCAGAAUCCGUCAGUGGGCGUUUCUUAAACCUUUUCCAACAUAAAAGUUGUUUGACACCCAGUCUCCUCCUACUUUCUCUGCGCGGAAGUCUUCUGCGCAGGGAGGGCGUGGGUAGCGGAGGACCAGUGCUCUCCCCGCUGGUGUCCGGUGAAGAGUCUGGGAGCCCUCUCUCCGAUUCCCCUAUCUGCCCCUCCUUAUUCCUAGUGUUGCACUGAAUUGCUUCCCCAUCUGCUGAGCUGCCUCUCUCCCUGCUGGGCCCUUCUCCAGCAUCAUUAGAGAGCCUCCCCUCCACCUCUAGCUCCGAUGUCAGUUCCCUGACACGUGAGGAGGUCCGGGAAACAAGCUAAUGAAAAAUAAGUAAUGGAAAGAUUGAGUUUUUAACUAUUUUUAUUUUGUAUUUUUCUUUUUUCUAUUUUUAUUUUGUAAUAUCUUGAAAAUCUUAAUAAAUAUCUUAUAUAAAAAAAACCAGCUAUCCUUUGAAAUUCACUCAUCUGAAUUUUGCGAAGCAGUUCUCUAACCAAACAAUAUUUACAAAAAAAAGGAUCUACUGUGGAGAAGUGUCCCUAGAAAUGAAGAUAUUGGUGAAAAUAACAUAUAAAAUUCAUUAUAUUAGGGGGAAAUGCUUGCAAAAAUGUGUACAUGAGUCAAAACCAAAUACACAGUUGUGUUCAUUAGGAUAAAUUCACACCAAAUGCUGAUGAAUUUUCACGAGGAUUUUUAAAAAUCACGAAUUGCUGCAAAAUAUGAAUUAAAGACUGAAAAAUAAAUCAAUCAAACCAGAGAAGUGAAAUGGACAAGUGCUUCCCCACCCGCUUGUGCUUCUUUGUUUUUUUGUUUUUAAGUGUGCCCACAAAUACAUGGAAUACACAUGCACCUGAAGGACUUGUAUAUUAUCUAUAUGAAUGCAUUGUUUGCUGAUAGAGCGCCACCAGUUUGCCUGGUGCAUUCCAGCCUUGAAGGAACAGAAAGCAAAUUUGGACCAUCAUCUGUUGAUGCCUGUUCCCCUGCGCUCCUUUGGCAGGAAUGGCAGGGUGUGACUUUAAUAAACAAAUACUGUCUAUGUGGGCUUCCUUCCAGGGCCCAUUGGCAAGAGCCCUCUGGACUUCUCCUAAUCAACGUUACCAAGUCCUUGCUUGCUCACCCACCUCUCGCGCUGGCAACACAUGAGAAGAAGAGCCCUGCAAAACCUGGAGCCUGCACUCCUUCAUUCUCUUCCUGCCUCUUCCUCAUCCCAGUACCCUCCUGGACAGGCCCUUCCCCUUGCCUAGACCCCUCUGCUAUUCUUGGCCUGCUUCUCUUCUCAGGUCACCUUUUCCUGCCUUCCUAGUCCUGCAAGUCCAGCUCUACCAUUAGGUAUAGAAAGGCUGCCUGCUUCAGGUGUCUGGUUUUGGGUGUCAUGAAAAGACAGGAAAUUGUUGCUUUUUAAUGUGUUAUGGCUGUAUUUUUACUUUGGGGGGUGGAGGUGCCUGUGGGAUUUUCUUUCCUCAGUUGCCAAGGCUGGCACACUGCCUUUCUCCAGCACCGCUUCUUCCUCUGCCCAGAGAAUUCUCUACUACUUCAGCCUCCUCUGCCUCAAACCCUAGGAACUGACCCAUGUCCAUCUGACAUGGACUCAGAAUCCUCAUGACUUGAGCAAGUCAGCCAGUGGUAACCAGUCCUGCCUGCCUGGGCUCUCCAUGAUGCUGGAGUGGCUCAACCAAUCACCAGCAGAAGCUCACCACCACCCACCAAUCCCUUUUCUAACAUGGAUUCCAUUCUUGCCUAGUCUGGUCUAAUACAUUCGGUUCUUGUUUCUGGGUGAGCUUGGCUGCAAUGAGAGCAAUCACUGGAAUAGCUCAGUCCAUAGAGCAUGAGACUCUUAAUCUCAGUGUUGUGGGUUCGAGCCCUAUGUUGGGCAAAAUAUUCCUUCAUUGCAGGGGGUUGGACUAGAUGACCCUUGUGGUCCCUUCCAACUCUACAAUUCUAUGAUUCUAUGACAGCAGUGAUUUCCCAAUUUCAAAUCCUGCUGUAGGAGAAAAAAGAAUGUUGCUCUCUCAUAGCGAGGGACUCCUUGCAUAAACUCCUGUUCUUUGUAAACUCUUAUGACAUCAACUAUGUAGGGCAGGAGGAGAACUUACCUUGUGAUUCAUUUGGAAAUUAUUGUGUGGGUUUCUGGGGGGGGAAAUACUGUUCUUAGAUAAAAAUAAAUGAAUUGGAAAAAACACAGUUUAUAAAAGAAAUUAAAAAAAAAUAUUUAGGCAUACUAAGAUGACUAUAAUGAUACAAUACGAUACAAUCAUAUUUAUUAUCAUUGUCCCAUACAGAACAACGAAAUUGGGGGGGGGGGAAUCUACAUAAGACAUUCAAAACCAAGAAGCCUGCUUGUAAAUAACUGAAGUUGUACCAAAUGUUUGUUGCAUUGCUGAGGAACUCUGCUAAAAUGUUACUUUGCAACUGAAAUCUCUGGACAUUAAGAGGAGACAGGAAUUUUAAACAAACAUGGUCUUCCUCUUGUUUUAAGAAUUCAGGCUGGAUGUGAGUUACAAGAAAUGUCAUUCUUUCUCAGGACUUGGAGUCCUUUUUGAGCAGGUGUCUUCGUUCAAGGCGUUUUCCAUCUUGUUAUAUCCUGGAUAAUUUCUGUGUGGGGCAAGUGAGAAUUUAAAGGCUCUGGUGUGCACAGAAAUCAAGUGGACCAAGUUGUUGUCUUACACUGAAUUAGGGAUGAAAAGUGCCCCCCUCCCCAAAUUUCAAAUUCCACCGUUUUCAAAAUUCAAAGCUAGUGAGAAUUCGUUCUGCUUAACUAGACCUCCUAUAAAUGUUUGAUUUUUCAGGUCUGAAAUUUCCUUGCUGGAUGUUCAGUCCUUGCCAGAGAAUCUUUGACUGUUCGGAGAAUGCUCCAAAUCUCUAUACUCUACAUGUCAAUACUGUCCCCAUUAUUGCGAAAUUUCUUUUCUUCUUGUUGGCCUUCCUUCCUCCUCUGAAAUGUUGGGCCAUCCUUUGCAUAUGCAUCUCUUUUCUUGACUUAGAUCAUUCAGCUAUUUUGUCCAAGAAAUGUUUGCAAACAAAAUACUAGGAAGUCAACAGGCACCUUGUUGUCUCUGUCCAGACAUUUGGACAGCUCUGUCGAAGAUAGACAAAGGCCUCACUUAACCAAAUUCUAAGUGUAGGGUGGACAGCAUCCAACUAGUCACCAUGACCCAGUUAGGCACUGACCUGUGAGGAACUUAAAUCUCCUGUUUUGCUAACACCAGAGGCAGACUUAGGGGAGUGCAGCUGGUUCUGUCGCACUGAGAGCGGAUUCACAGGGGUGCUGCCAGGGACGCUGCAACUACAAGUUACAGUGGAUGUGGGAGGUGGAGAGGCACCAAAUUUUAGUGAAGCCCAGGGCACCUCUGAUAUCUGAGACCCCAAGACCCACCAUUGCCAACUUAAGGACCACAUUCACCAUGCUUGACUUUUGAUCUCUGCCUUACAAGGGAUGGAUGGCAAGGUCCAAUUGGGGUUCACAGGAAGCUUCAUGUAACUUCUAUGUCUUGUAUUUUACUGUUCCAGCAUGUUUGAUCAGAGAUCCAUUGCACAAACCACAAGUCUUUGUUAUGCUCCUUGGAAGAAGGGGCCUGGUUAUUUUUUAGCUAUGAAAUGUUGUUACUCUACCACAGUCACACCCCUCCUCUCUUUUUACCCCUUUUUGGCAACCUGCCCGGGCUCUGAGAUAUUCGGGGGAAGCCCUUCUCUUGCCCCACCACUCUCCCAGGCAUGGAGACACAGGAGAAAGCCUUCUCCCUCGCUGCUCCCAGACAACCUUGGGACUCCCUCCCAGGGGAAGUGGGACAGGCUACCUCCUCAUGGUCCCAGCAGAUGAAGAUCUUCAUGUUCCAACAGGCUGUUAAUGAAAGGGCUGGUCUUGUGUUGUUUUUACUGUAAUUAUCUUUAUGUUGUUAAUAGAUAUAUUUAUAAAUAAUUUUAAUUCUAUGAAUGUUUAAUUUUUUAUUAUAAGGGUUUCUUUUUUAGCUGUUCGUAUUUUAUCUGCAAGCUGCCUUGGGUCCCCGUCAGGGGAAAAGGCAAGGUAUAAAUAAAUAUAUAAUAAUAAUCCAUUUUUUUGUAAAUGUGUAUCUCUUCUUCCAACCUGAAAGCUUGCACCCACCUUAGGAAUAUUAGUUGGUCCUCUUAACAAAAGGUCUGAGUUUCCACAUUCUUGUUGCAAUAUGACUAUAGAUCAGUGUAGAUACUAAUGUGUCACUGGGGGGCAGAGGGAGAUGACACAGAUUUGCAUAUAUUUCCAUAUGUUCUUUUCAUGCAUAUGGACAUACAUCUCAAGACAAUGACCAUAAUUUAAAUAAAACUAUGUCUUCCCACAGUGGAGAAGACUGUGAGCCUGUGAAGACUAUUUUAUUUGUUGAUUGACAACCUCUAGGUUCCUGCUGGUCUCCAUUCUUAGGGUCCUUGAUCUUUGAGCCCUGGACUGAACAGACCUUUAAAAAGAGGAAGCCUUCAAAUAAUAAAGGACUAUAAAUUAGGACACCUUACUGUGGGUGCCAAUUCAGCAUGGGCACAAUGGCUCUUUCAGCAAGGCAACUCUUCCUCCUAAAGGGUCUGGCAACCCAGUCUGAUGAGGAAUGCUUGGGUGUGUUUAGCCUGGAGGAGAGGAGACUGAGAGGCGAUAUUAUAGCCAACUUCAUAUCGCUGAAGUGAUGUCACAUGAAUGAUGCAGCAAGGUUGUUUUCUCCUGUUCCGGGGAGGGGGGGUGACCCGAACCGAUGGAUUCCAAGGACAAGAAAGGAGCUUUUAGAUUAAACUUUAGGAAGAACUUUCUGAAGGUAAGAGCUGUUUGACAAUGGAACAGACUACCUUGGAAGGUGGUGGACUCUCCUUCACUGGAGGGUUUUAAGCAGAGAUUGGGUCAUGGUUGCUUGAGUUGAGAUUCCUGCAUAGCAGGGGGCUGGACUAGAUGACCCUUGGGCUCCCUCUUGACUCUACAAUUCUAGGAUUCUAAAUAUAGGUGGGAGAGAAUACAGUGAUGAAAAUGCAGCCUGAAAUUCACAGAGGGAGCAAUCAGGACUGACUAGCAGUGAUUCCAGAAUGAAUAUGACAGACAGGCCCUGAAAUGUGUUAAGUGACCUCAUAAGUCCCAGGGACUUCCACAAGAGACAAAGAUGUUCGCUGAAGUGAAGGAUUAUGCUCAUUCAUGCCUCUGUGCCUUGUCAAAGGCCCCUUUACUAAAAAAAAAAUUAUUAAAAAAAAUGUGGGUCCUUCCUUGCUUGCUUGCUUGCUUGCUUGCUUCCUUUCUUUCCAGUUCCAACAAAGUACAGUUUUUGAUGGAUUCCAUGGACCAGUCCAAGUGCACUCCCAUCUCACAUGACCUUCAAAUUCCUCAUCACAGCCUACAUUUUCUAUGAAGCUCCUGGCAUACUUCUCUAAUUCAGGAGGGGAACCUUUUCUUUCCUCCCUGAGGACCUGCAUUCUCUUGUGAACAAUCCUUGAGACUUGGAGUGAGUUAAGUUUUCAAUGGGAUUCCCAUUAAUCAUGGCUAAGUCCCAUGGAUUUCAGUGGUUGUACCUGAAAGAUAACCAAGUUUGGAUCCAUCCCUUUGCAUUUAGACUGCCAGGGAGGAACGGGGACGAACAUGUGAUUUUCUGCCUCCGAUGCUGGAAUACCUUGAGUGGCCUUGACAGACCCUUCAAGUGCCCAUAUUUUCCAGGGACAGCCCAGACUUACAUAAGCCACCCCUGUUUCUGAUUUGAUAGUGGAAUGUCCCACUUUUCCUUAGGAUGUCUCUAUUUUCAUUGGAGAAAUGUUGGCAGGUAGGGAGUUAGCCAACCCCAAGCCAAGGAGACAAGUAACUGUACAACCUUUAGAAGACAUCUGGAGGCUGCCCUGUAUAGGGAAAUUGUUUAAUGUUUAAUGCUUUAUUACGUUGGAAGCUGUCCAGAGUUGCUGGGGCAACCCAAUCAGAUGGGUGGGGUAUAAUAACAAAACUAUUAUUAUUAUUAUCAUCAGCAUCAACAUCAGCUUCAUUAUUAUAUUGAAUAGGAUGUCCCUGUUUCUAUCAGAAAAAUGUUGGAGGGUAUGUCUUGAAUGUUUUGCAUCUUGACUUGGGCUGCGUCACCCUCUUGGGCAGCCACAUGCCUGGGGAGGAGGGAGAGAGCUGUCUGGAAGUUGUUGCCCCAAACACAAGACCAGGAGGACCCAAGGAGGAUUUUGCUGCUGCUGGGGUGACAAAUAUGUAAAAUUCUAGCCUUUUAAAACUCAGGUUUGAUUCAGGGCAUAAAUGUUUGCCCAACCAAGUUGAUGCAAUCAAAGGUUUGAUUCAGAAGGAUUGGCUACAACAGAUGGGACAACGGUCUCUCAGCCGACUUCACAGGGUUGUUGGGAUAAUGACAUAGGGAAGGGAAGACUGUCCCCUGAGCUCCUCCGAGAAAAGUGGGGGUAUAAAUGCAAGAAUGGAAUGGGAUAUGGAUGGACACCUUCUGAAACACCCUUUUGCUACUUCCACACAUCACAUGUUCGCGGGGACUUUUAAACUGGACUUAAUGGACACAGUUCUGUCAAAGCUGAACACUUUUACACCCCACUGAAUUCAGUGGGAAAGUCAAGUGCAUACUUGAACCUCUCCCCUUGAAAUCAGUGGGGCUGGAUGCUGUUCAAUGGGUGUCCAUGCAAAGCCAGACUGGAAGCUCCCCAGUCUCCUCAUCUUUUCCCCACCAACACAUCUCAGUUUGGAGAAAGCCUCUUUGCUCCCCUUCCCACAGCCAUACCUCAUUUCAAGGUUGGUGCUGUCUUCUCAUUUGUUAAAUGGGGAUUGAGGAAGAAAGGCAGUGGCCAAACAGUGAAAACAGAAACCACCAACAUUUCCCCCUGAGGCAUCUGCAAUGUGAUCCAGAAACACCUCAGAGCUCAGUGAGGAUCCAGCAGGGAAGGGUCCCAAGGGAACGGUCUUUGUCCAGUUCGCACUGAACUUUGCCCAAAGGUUUUGGUUCCCAUUUUUAUCUGGAGCAGGAAACUCAUUCCUGGCAGUGGCCUCAAUCACAGAGCGAAUCAAUUCCACGACCUCCCCAUUGCACGUGUCAAUCACUUGCAGGGCGUUUGUUCCCAUCAACGCCAAAAACUAUAAAUGUGGAUUCCAGCAGAGUGGCGUUAUAAUUCACAGAAGCCACGGUAGCAGCGGGGAGGCAGGGCCACAUUCCCUUCUGGGCAACCUUCCAGGGGCCACAUGCCAGGGAUGGGAGGGGUCAGAGGGGAAAGUGGGAUGGGCAAUGCAUAUAAAUUGUGCCUUUGUACAGGAGGCAAGUUUCCACAGAGACGGGCGCUGCUCUCUGUUCUCUGGGCCAGCAACUUAUCAGAGUUCAUGGAGACAUCCCAGCCACCAUAAAUGUUCAAGGAGGGUGGGCAGCAGGAUCAGUAGGGCAUGUGGGGCUGUGCAGUAGGUGUGGCCUAGGGAAGUCCCAGAACAGAGAGGCUGUGAGGCCCACAUUUGGCCUGAGUCUCCCUACCCACACAAUCCUAGGAACAAUGUGAGCAGACCUGCACAUAACAGUGAAGGGGGUGCUGGGAUUUGGGAGUGCCACGCUCUUUAACAACAAAAAGACAGCUGGAUCGAGGCAGGUCGGGGCUGCUGAUUCUUCUAGACCUGUCAGCAGCCUUCAACAUGGUCGAUCACGAACUCCUGGACCACCGCCUUGCCAACGUGGGGAUCCAGGGCACAGUCCUUCAAUGGCUGCGCUCGUUUCUCUCUGGUCGGGGACAGAGGGUGGCGUUUGGGGGGGAAUUGUCAUCGCGCCACUCCCUGGUGUGUGGAGUGCCUCAGGGUGCGAAACUCUCCCCGAUGCUUUUUAACAUCUUUAUGCGCCCCCUCGCCCAGCUUGUUCGGAGUUUUGGGCUGGGCUGCCAUCAGUAUGCUGAUGACACCCAAUUCUAUCUGUUGAUGGAUGGCCAUCCUGACUCGGCCCCAGACACACUGACCAGAUGUUUGGAAGCUGUGGCUGGAUGGUUACGUGGGAGCCAGUUGAAGCUAAAUCCUUCGAAGACAGAGGUCCUGUGGCUGGGACGGGACAAUAUGGGAUUGGGGGGGCAACUCCCAUCUCUUGCGGGGGCGCAAUUAGUGCCAGCACUGUCCAUUAAGAGUUUGGGUGUAAUCUUCGACACCUCCCUUUCCAUGGAGGCGCAGAUUGCAGCUAUAACAAAGGCGGCAUUUUUCCAUCUCCGCCAAGCUAAGCAGUUGGCUCCUUACCUCUCUCGCCCUGACCUAGCCACUGUGAUCCACGCGACGGUCACCUCCAGACGGGAUUAUUGUAACUCGCUCUACAUGGGGCUGCCCUUGAGACUGACCCAGAAACUCCAGCGGGUGCAGAAUGCUGCAGUGAGACACCUUACGGGGUCUUCGCUGCGAGAUCACAUUCACCCGGUGCUAUACCAGCUGCACUGGCUCCCGGUGGAGUACAGGAUCAGGUUUAAGGUGCUGGUUUUAACCUUCAAAGCCCUAUACGGCCUAGGACCCUCGUACCUAUGGGACCGCCUCUCCUGGUAUGCCCCACAGAGGAACUUAUGGUCUUCAAAUAAAAACAUCUUGAAGGUCCCAGGCAUCAGAGAAGUUAGGCUGGCCUCAACUAGAGCCAGGGCUUUUUCGGCUGUGGCUCCGAUCUGGUGGAACACUCUGUCACAAGAGACCAGGGCCCUGCGGGACUUGACAUCUUUCCGCAGGGCCUGCAAGACAGAGCUGUUCCACCAGGCCUUUGGCCAGGGCACAGCCUGACUCCCUCCCUCGGCAAUCUUCGCGGAGCUCUGGCCCAAUGGUUGCCAGCGGCUUGAAUUAAUUAAUUUUAUAAUGAAUGAUUUUAGAGUGUUGUUUAUGCUGUACUUUUGUACUGUUUUAUUGUUGUUAGCCGCCCUGAGCCCGGCUUCGGCUGGGGAGGGCGGGAUAUAAAUAAAAUUUGUUAGGUAGAUUUAUUGCUUUAUUCUUGGCGUCCGGCACGCUUCCCCUGCACUCCUCUGCAGGUCGUAAAGCAAUUAGCAGAAUUGCACAGCGUCCGUGUUGAAAGGGCAGUAAAUUAAGUCCCACACGUUUCUUCUUUCCUAGUAGCACUUUAUUUGCUCAAAAGUAGCAUAUUUACAAUUCAUAAACACCAUCUGAUUGUAGCUGCAGUUUUCUCUGCGUUCUACUCUCUCAGCUUGCAGCUGUGUAACAAAGCUGCUUUCACUUUUUAUUUAUUUUAUUUAUUAUUAUUAUUAUUAAAGAGGUGCCCGUACUGAGUACCCCUGGAAAAAAGCACUGGCUGGAGCAUCUGCUUUGCAUGCCGAAGGCCCCAGAGUCUGUCUCCGGGUUGGGGCUGGGAGAGCCCCCUCUCUGAAUACCUGAGAACUGCUUCCCGUCAGAGUAGACGAUCCUGAGCAAGAUCUGACUCGAUCUAAGGCAGCUUCCUCUGUCCCCACCUGGAGCCUAGAAGACCACAGUAUAGGCAUCACAUAAGAAUAUGAGUGCAUGGGAAGCAGCUGCUGGAUCAGGCCAGCAGCCCAUCCAGUCUGUUUUCACAGUAGCUAACCAAAUGCCUGUGGGAAACCCACAAGCAAGACCCCAAAACAAGAGACCUCUCCCCUCCUGUGGUUCCCAGCAGCUAGGAUGCAGAAACAUUGCUGCCUUCAACUGUGGAGGGUGGCGCUGAGCCAUCAUGACCAGUCGUCAUCAACAGCCCCCUCAUCCAUGCAUUGGUCUCAUCCUGCAUUUUACCUAAUGCACCAGGUAAGCAUUUCAGGGGAGGGCUGUUCAUAAACUGGGAGCCACCCCUGAAAAGGCCCUCCACCUAACAGCUGCCUGCAUUGCUCAAUGAUGUAGGGAAACCUGAGGAAGCCCCCCCUCCCGAAGAUCUCAAGCUCCAGGCAGCACAUUUGGAGCAGGCCUCAUUUCACAGUUUGGGUCUAAGCAGCUGUUCUGCACAAGGAGCGUUCACCUUUCCUGGACUUUCCUGAGUGGAGUGGAGUAAGAUUCAGAGCUGGCUUCUUCGUGCUGCAUCUGCUGCAGCAAAGCCUCACGCUCCGCCCCCACCCCCUUCACAAAGGCUAAUACAUCACAGCAAAUGGGCUAAUCUCUCCAGCAAAGCCUAUCUCAGAUGUAACCUAAUCUAAAGCUCCAGCCGAAGCUUUCACAGACAGCUUGAGUCAAACCAAGAAACUGGCAAUCACGGAGAGCAGAGCGGGGUGGAGCAUUGGGCUGGGAUGAGCAAGUGCAAUAGGUGCUAACGGGCCGAUGAUGUGACCAGCGACAGCAAUGGCACAGCAAAGGUAGCAGUGUAAGUCAUUAAUUGCUUUUUAAUUGCAGAGGAGUGUACACCUCCCUCCCUUCCAGGUUUCUGUUGAUGAAAUCCCUGUUUCUAUUAUUCUAAUAGAAAGAGAACCCGACUCCAUUGCUCCAGUGCCCCGCAAACGUCUGUUUACGGGGCCUUGGUAAACGAUGCACUUAACAGUGCAGAAAGCAGCACAAUGAAACAAGCAAACACAAACGCUCUCCUACCUUUGGAGGCAGCUAAUGAUGCUCCAUAAUUUACUAAGGAGUAAUGGAGAGAAGGAUUGGUUUGCUGCAGUUCUCAGACGCUGUAGAUCUAAGUCUACUCAGGUCUACUAAGGGAACUGAUCCUGCUUUAAGCCACGAUUGCCCACAACUUCAGGCGAGAAAACCAGCCUCACUGCCUUCUUCUCCAGUCAACGCUUCAGGUGAUACAUGCAUGGCUCUCCAGCGCAGUCUGUCUGAAGAAGACACCCAGGAGCUUGAAUCAGCGAUGGCUGUAGCAACAGCACCCUCUGGUGGAGCUUUGUCCACCGGGUGGGGGAUAUUUUUCCUGUGGAAGUUCCCUAAGGUGUCAUCCGUUUUGGGGGGUGGGGGUUAUGCUAGUGGUGGGCGGAGCUAGAGCCGGCAAGGGUGGGGCAGCUCCUCUUCUCUGCCGGAUUAGGGGUCAGGUUGCUGUUGCCAGAGAACUGUGUUGAUCACUUGCAGAGGAGCUUCAUCCCUCCCCAGUCCAUAUACCAUACACAGGGUGAAUGUUAAACUCAGGCGGGUGCUGCCUCCAUAUUCUUUUCUGAACAUGGUGAAGACUUAGCACUUUCAACAAGCUUUCUGGGUGGAGAUUUAUAUCCUGGGUGUUUUUGUUUUUAUAUACCUAAUUCUUUUAAUUAGUUUGUAUUUACUUUUAUUGCUAUUUAUCUUUCAAACAAAUUUUUAUUAAUGAUAUAUUAUUGUACCUUGGAGCCAAGACUGUUAUACAUCAAAGAGCCUGGCUUGACAAGUAUAAAGAAAACAAGUGAAAACAAAAAUGGAGAAAAGAGAGAGAGGAGAAAAGAGAGAAUUGAAAAGGGGGAAAGAAACACUUUCCUCCUUUACAUGUCAUUUUUCUUUUUCUUUUAAAAAUUGUUUUAAAUUAUUUUUUACAUGUAAUUCUUUUAGUUGUUUUUAUAUAUAUUAUUAUUAUUAUUAUUUGGUUGUUUUAUAUAUACAUGUGGUUUCAAAUAUUAAACACUUGCUGAAAAGUUUUCUAUUUCACCAGGCCAACGCAGGCAGUUAAGAAUACAUCUUUUCAGAAUAGUUAACUGAUGUCUGUUUUUAACUUUUUUAUAUAUGGUUUUUACUGCAUGGUUUUACGUUGUGUUGCUAUUUUAUAAACCACUUUUUACAUAGUUGUAUUUAUUUUUUAUAUAAAUAAAUCCAUUAAAUGAAAUAAACCAGUUUUAUAUCUGCAUUUGUUUAAUACAUUUUUACUGUAUUGCAUUUCACAUAGGAAGCAAUUCAUGAAUGAGAUCAAUGCAUGGCAAGAGUAGCACCCUGCAUAAUUUGUUGCUUCGCUGUUAGGCUACCUCUUUCCCCCUAUGUGCCUCUGUCCCCUUUCCUUUUUAGUUAUUCACUGGUCAUCUCUUUGCUAAGACACUGAUUUUUUUGGUCCGCAUCUCAGAAGUGAGUCCCAUCAGACAGCCCAGGGUCUCAAACCAGGAAGAUCCGGGUGGGCUCUUUGCUGCUUCUGACUGAAGAGUUGCAUGUUUGUUUGUCAGGCUUAUAUUCCCUCCAUGGAGCAGAAAGAGGUGUGCACGGUUCUCUCCCCGUUUUAGCCUCACUAUGAGCCUGCAAGGUAGGUUAGGCUCAGAGGUGAUAAUCGGGAUUGCCCAAUGACCCUCAUAGCUGCGUGGGGAUUUGAACCGGGGACUCCAUGGUCCUGAGCCUCUGUGCCACACAGGCCGACUCUGCUCUCUGCUCUCUGCUGUCUUGCAGUGCCACCACUGCAGGUGGCCACAGGGGGUCAGUGCAGCUACUCCUUCCGGGGGGAGGGACACGUGACAAAGAGCUGCUGACUUUGGCCCCACCUCCUUACUAAGGAUGGGGAAUCAGUGUUAAAAGUUUUCAAGGCAAAGGUGAUUGCAACAAUAGCAAAUUAAAUUCAGUUCAAAUCUGAAAGUAACCUUUGCCAUGUGCAUUUUCCAAAUUAAUAGGGCAACUGAAACACAGUUGUCCUUUGAAAUACAUGCUUCUCCACAUUUUGCAGUGAAGUUCUGCAGCCAAGUACUGCAUAUGCCAGGACAAAGGGUGCCUAUUAAUGGAAACUGCAUCCAAGAGUAUUAAAAGAACUGGCAGAUGUAAUCUCAGAACCACUGGCAGUCAUCUUUGAGAAUUCCUGGAGAACAGGCGAAGUCCCGGCAGACUGGAGGAGGGCAAAUGUUGUCCCUAUUUUCAAAAAGGGGAAAGAGAGGACCCAAAUAAUUACCGCCCAGUCAGUCUGACAUCAAUACCAGGGAAGAUUCUGGAGCAGAUCAUUAAGCAAACAGUCUGUGAGCACCUAGAAAGGAAUGCUGUGAUCACCAAUAGUCAGCGUGGAUUUCUGAAAAAUAAGUCAUGUCAGACUAACCUGAUCUCGUUUUUUGACAGAAUUACAAGCCUGGUAGAUGAAGGGAACGCAGUGGAUGUAGCCUACCUUGAUUUCAGCAAGGCAUUUGACAAGGUGCCCCAUGAUAUUCUUGUAAAGAAGCUGGUAAAAUGCGGUCUUGACUAUGCUACCACUCAGUGGAUUUGUAACUGGCUGACUGACCGAACCCAAAGGGUGCUCAUCAAUGGUUCCUCUUCAUCCUGGAGAAGAGUGACUAGUGGGGUGCCACAGGGUUCUGUCUUGGGCCAGGUCUUAUUCAACAUCUUUAUCAACGACUUGAAUGAUGGACUCAAGGGCAUCCUGAUCAAAUUUGCAGAUGACACCAAACUGGGAGGGGUGGCUAACACCCCAGAGGACAGGAUCACACUUCAAAACGACCUUGACAGAUUAGAGAACUGGGCCAAAACAAACAAGAUGAAUUUUAACAGGGAGAAAUGUAAAGUAUUGCACUUGGGCAAAAAAAAUGAGAGGCACAAAUACAAGAUGGGGGACACCUGGCUUGAGAGCAG
rnacentral:lncRNA from 1 species